CUCACUGAGCUAGAUGGUAAAUAUUUUCACCCCUCUGAGAAAACUGAACAGGCACUAAAGGGAUUGAUUUGACUUGAAUUUUAGAUGCUCAACCCAAGAGCACCAGAACUAACAAAAAAAAAGUGAGUAAUGAAAAUCUCAAAGGUAAGUAAAGGUUGACUGCCCUGAACAAGUGUCAAGGUUGUACAAAUCUUGACUAACAGCUAGAAUCGCUUCCUCUCCUCCCUCUGUCCGUCUGGCCUUGACUAUUUGCACCUCCCUCCCUUCCUGCAAUACUUUCCCAAGUGAGCAUCUUUCUAUUCUUUAUCUGUUAUUUCUCUCUGGCUGUGUAAGGUGUCGGCAUUCCCUCCCUCUGUCUAUCAGCUGUGAGCAGGAACUUGGAUGAUUUGACUUUAAUUACACAGGGAUGUAGAGCAAGUUGUACAGUUGUAACAACCCACGCUCAAGUGUCCGCAGCCCUUUUGAAACACCGCACAAGAGAUCCUGCAAGUAACCCACAAAACACACUCAAAGUGUUAUGUAAUUACCAUUGAACAAAAAGUAGUUAGUAGCACCAGCUGUUUUAGUACUUUGUGGAUUCUUUGUUGAAGUUUAUGUUCAGUUGAAAAUAGCGAUACAUUGUGAAGGGGAAGGUCAAAUCCCAUAAUGAACCCUCGAGGCCCGUCCUCCUCAAUUCUUAUCAUCAGGAUCUGACACGGAGAUGCUACAUCAAUCCUUUCGCCCACCCUCCAAUUUUUUUUUGCGUUCCUGGUCUCCUCCAAUCCGGUCUUCUUUUUAUCUGAUUAUUUCUCCAUUCCUCUCUCUUGCAUGUGUCUGGUAUCAGUCUCGUGCUUAGACAUUUCUGGCAGCGGUGGAAGAUAAAUGUUGCCUGGUGUUUUGGUUACUGUGGCGUAGCCUGCUGCCAUUCAGCGCUUGAGUCAUUAUAUGUCAAAAGUGUCCAUUCAGGGGAUCGAAACGUUAGGAAAGGUUUAUUAACCAAUACUUCUUAAUUAUUGAUUGAUUUGGUUUGCAUAAAUCUUUUCCGUUUUGUCAACAAAGGACUUUCUGCAAAUUACCUAAAAGGUGACAUUUUGCCUUUUAAUGCGCUAUCAAUCAUUCUGUAAGAGUACAUUCGCCAACAGUCUCUUUCUCUCUCUCGCUCUCCCUAUCUCUCCGUGUAUCAUAUCUGCCAUUAAACAUCGAAGCAGAGGUAGAGUGUCUUAAGGGCACGACGCCCAAACCCACAGCGCCAUCAGAGGAGAAAACCACAGAUGCAGCUGUCCCGACGGAGAGAGCGAAGCAUAAGUUUCUCUCUCUUUCUCUCUCAGACGACUCUCAUUAAAUGGGAGUAGGGCUCCUCUGGUCUAAAACCAAGAAGAGUUAUGCUCCUUGAGACCGAUCUGCUGCUAACCAUAAUGCUGGCACGGCGCAAUGUGGAAAACAAGUGAAUCAAAUGCAAACCGGGGAGCUGCAGCGUAAUAUUAACAUAAUAUUACAUUGGUCACGUGGGUCCAGUAACAAGAGACCAGCUGUAGCAACAGCUUUCCAAAAUAGUGGCAAAUCUCUACAUGAUUGCUGUAUCUGUGGAAGCACAGAGUCAGGGAGAGGGGGUAGUACAAUCCCUCGGUCAUAUCUAGUCUAAUCUCAACAAAUAUCGAAAGUAUUGCAAGUUCAUUUGGUGUAGACUUGCACGGUUCCUGGAGGAGCCUUCCCGUUUCACAGGUGAAGAAGGAUCGUUGUUUGCUGGCGGAUGAGACCAACCUGACCUAAAACAAAGCUAAAAUACUUUGCCUUGACUUCUGCAAAAAAUGUAAAUGUAAUUUCUGCUCGGCUCUUUAAAACCAACUGAGCGAAUACAUGUCCCUUAUUGUUUCAGAUAAAAACGGUGUGUAAAAACUGCUGCUGAAAAGCCUUUGUAUGUGCAAAGCGGAGCAUGGAGUCAUGCUGAAUGUAUGUGGCCACUUGCCGGAGAAACGAGGACAAACAAAGUGGAUGAAAGGGAAAGGAAUGUUUGUUUGGUCAGGCUCCAUAACCGACACCAAGUCUGCGGUGUGCCGCCCUCAUCCUCACAGACUGCUGUGUGCACUGAGAGGUCUUGGCAGCUUCCUCGUCUUCUGCCUUUCACCUGUUCAAUACACAUUCACCCACCUCCAGAUGAUAAAUGUCUUCUUGUUUUUACCAAAGGACUGAUACAUUUCCACUCUGAAAGGUUACAACUAAGAAUAUAGAUGGGGCCAUUUGGUAGCUGCAACUGUAGCUUUGGUAACUGUAGUUAGUAAGUUAGAAUUAUUUUUGUGCCCCCUGGCCGCAUUCUGUGAAGACCCGCUCUUCUCUGCGACAGAUGGCUAGUACUUGACGCCUUUUUCAAGGACAGAUGAUGUUCUCGGCAUGAUGCCGUUUUGUAGUCUCACUUGUUAGCAAAUGCUGUUUUUAAAACCAGGAAUAUAAAUUCACCAGUAGUUGACAGGCAAGGCUCUGACAAUACCAUAAAACUGAAAACCCAUGUAAAAAGAAGUAGAUCUCAAUUUCAAGGAGUUCAAUUUUCUAGAAAUUCAGGUAUAGCGUAUAUUUGAAUAAAAACCAGAAUCUUGGGUAAAUGCUUUCAGUUUGACUCAGUGGAUUAGUUUAUUCUGUACAGCAUAUUUAUUCAAAUGGUAAUACUAUACAGUGCCAACAUGAUCAUUGGCUAAGAUAUUUGCAAACUUGUGGUUUAGAGUAGGUGACUUCUCUAAGUCACUGAUCCUGGUGAGCUUGACAUUUGGCAGUCCCAAAUAUUGGUCCCCCACAAAUUGUGACAGAUCUCAUUCACCGAACCUCAUUUCCAAACUGCUGUCCUGAAACCAUUAUUUUGGCCUUUUCGGAAUUUCAAAGUCCACAUGCUCUGUGGCAACAAAAAAGGAGAUGAAAAACCACAAUGUUGUCUUUUGGUGAAAACAUUUUCUGGCUGUCAUGGUAACUGUCAUCGUUAGCCAAGGAAAUUCAAACCACAGAUCUCAGAUAUCCCGUGAAGAUGGCAACUAUUGGUCUUGUCCCAUAUUCAACAGCAAAAUAAUAUGGUCUCAACUAUGGUCCCCACGGUAACAUAAAAGGCUCAGAAACCUCAGCUAAACCGCUGUGAGGUAUGUAAUCUGAUGUCAGAGAUGGAAAGUCUAUUUUUGAUGACACUUUAAAUCCUUUUCCAUGAGAAAUCACAGAGCAUAGGAUUAGCCUAAAACACAGGUGGUGCCUGUUCUCUGAAAGAGCAUAAAUUCUGUAACUUGAAAGACAACGUUGUCUUGAGCACAAGGUAAUGAACAGUGAAGUGGAUGCUGCUUUUACGCAUCAUAUAGAUAUAUUUUGAAUUGGCGCCCAUUAUCGUGGAGCCAAAGACGCAAAGCACCUUGCAAGUUAGCAAAAUGGUGAACACGGAGAACAAACAAUGAGAUUCUGAAUUAAUUUAAGGCAUAAUUAUGUCGCAAAGUUUUGCCCCCAAAAACUCUGGACAUUUGUCUAAAAGAGAACUCAACAUUCUUUUUUCUUCAGCCUUUAGACAUGAUCACAGCAUGCUUACUUAUCUAAGAAUAGAAAAACUCUGCCCACUGAACUUAAACUCAAUUAAUGAGAUUCCUUCUGCCCCCAAUUUCCCUACUGGUAAUUUCAGUAACCAAGGUUGACUUCUGUACUGCAAAAAUGACACGAAAAAAGUAAGGUGGCCAGAUGUUUAUUUUCUUUGAUGUGCAACCCUUCAGUACCAAAACUGCAUCUAUGAAUCAGUCAUCUUCUGCAGAGUUAAGCUAAAACUAGACAUUCACAUUCUAACAUGUGUUAAUCAUUUGGGCUUUACACUGUUUUUCAUCUCAACGCGGUGUAAAAUGCCUUUUUCCCCCCACCUCAGAUAUAAAAGGGGCCGCUUGCAUCAUACCACAGAAGGACUGACUCCAUGGGAACUGAGGACCUGUGAAAACAACAAACUGUUCACACCUACAUACACCAUACACACUUGCGUCAUCCAUUUAUUAACCAAAUGCAGUAGCAUUUGGAAAGCAGACCCACUCCAGCGUUGGAGCCCCAUGCCAUGCAGGUGAAAAUUUGCCAGUAAAAGAUAUGAGCUCUCAUUAACUUUAACAGGGCAACAACCCCCUACACAGGGUCCCGCCCCCUGCAGCGGCGAGGGUGAGAUCUUACUGGCUUGUUAAUGUGACUGACGGCUGGACAAGCUGGGCCCUUUUUUUCUGCCUCGAUGUAAUAGCGGCCAUACUUCAUAAAGAGGAUGACGACAGUUGGUUAGUGGUGCCAGUGGGUUAAUGGCUGCAGAUAUUACUGCAUGCAUGCCAGCUGGUUGCUCCAAGGUCUUCAGAGACAUAACUCACUCUCUCCCUUUUGUCAUCUCCCAUGAUUGUUUCUUACUGACAAAAGAGCGACCAAUUAAUGGAGCUAAUGAAGUUAUAUUAAAAAUAUUUACUGCUGCUUUUUUCCUUGGCUGUCCUUACAGAAUUCAUAUGGAAUGCACCUUCUCCCCCAACACACAUUGGUUAUAUACAAUGAUACCUAUUUACUCAUCAACUAUCCCACCAAUGUAUAAGAUGCAGUACCAUUUCAACACCAUAAAUGACAAAUUUACAUCUUUUUAUACAUAUUCCCACUUUAAAAGGUAGUUUAGUUUACAAAUGAAGGCUAACGUCUGCAGUCAAAAAAUGGCAUUAAUUGCAUUUUCCAGUUAAAUGCUUGGGUUGCAUGUUUUUUGGUCAGCCUUGGCAGAUAUGUUAUUCCUUCUGUACACAGAACAGUAGUACUCACUUUAACAUUUAUCUGCAUAACAGGGGAACCUGACUACAAUGGAGCCAUCAAAAUUUUACUAUAAAACAACUGGGCCAUGACAAGUCCAAACAUGUGCUGUUGGAUGAUGUCAAUGAUCUCACUCGGUCCGUUACGAUAAUUUUACAAAGUAAUCAAGUCUCCACACUAGACUACUGCUGGUUUUUCUAUCCAGGCACUACGCUUGACGGCUAUUAGGGAAAUGGACUUUAGUCUGACUUACUACAAUUUUUAUACGUUGACUCGUAUUAAGAUGUUAGGCUGAAGCUAUUUAUUUAUUUCAUUUAUUUUAUAUUUUUCCCAGAAAUACAGGACUGAAGGCCUGCUUACUUCUAUGAUGACCUCAAUAAAUAAUUUUUCUCCUCUUUGAUAUUUGAUAUUGUAAUAACAGGUAAAUUAGCAAUAAAGUGUCAAGAAUUGUCCUUACUUGUUCUAUAUUUUCAUGAAUAAAAAAGCUGUGAUUUCAAAUAACUAGUGCAGCUCCAGACAUUGACUCCAAUAUACCACUCCAACAAACUCCAACAUGUAUUUGAUGGGAAAUUGGGUAAAAUGGCACUUUGGAUAAUAAGGUUUGCAGACACCUGGUUUUUCGCCUGGACGCCAGGAAGAAUACGGUGUAGACUAAUGGGGAUCCUUGAUAAACAUAAACGUAAACGGUGGAUACAAAGGGGGUAAAAAAGGUACUAGUACAUGCUAGUAGUGUGUCUACCAAUGACAUUAUCCAAUUUGUUGUGACCUUUUGGGCGUGUCCACACUGGUUAAUACUACAGGUGGUAGUAUGGACCUCCAGAGUCAGGAAAUUGGCAUGAAAGAUCGCUGCAGACCUUCAUACCCUGGACACAACCCGAUCAGACUCCUCCCCUUUGGUAGGCAUUAGAUCCAUCCAUCCAUCCAUCUUCAACUGCUUAUCCGGGGUCAGGUCGUGGGGCAACAGCUCCAGCAGGGGACCCCAAACUUCCCUUUCCCGGGCCACAUCUACCAGCUCUAACUGGGGGAUCCCAAGGCGUUCCCAGGCCAGUGCAGAGAUAUAACCUCUCAACCUAGUAAACACAUGUAAACUGGAUGAGAAUACUCCCAGGCCCCCUCUAUGAUCCUGGAAAGAGUAGGGCUGGUCGGUCGUUCCACGACCAGGAUGAAAACCGCAUUGUUCCUCUUCAAUCCCUGGCCUUGGAGUAGACUUCACCAGGGAGGCUGAGUAGUGUGAUACCCCUGUAAUUGGCAAACACUCUCUGGUCCCCCUUUUGGAAGAUGGGUACCACCACCCCGGUCUGCCACUCUUGGCACUAUCCCAGACUUGCAAGUUUGAAGAGGCGUUUCAUCCAAGACAGCCCCCCAACACCCAUUGCUUUUAGCAUUUCUUGACGGAUCUCAUCAAUCCCCGGGGCUUUGCCACUGCGUUGUUUGACUACUUCAGUGACCUCCACCAGGCAAAUUGACAAUGAUCCCUCCUCCGCCUCUACCAAAGAGGGCGCAGUAGUUGGAUGCAGGAGUUCCUCAAAUUGUCCCUUCCACUACCCGAUAAUCUCCUCAGUCGCGGUCAACAGGGUCCCAUCCUUACUGUACACAGCUUGGAUGGUUCCCCGUUUCCCCCUCCUGAGGUUGCCGGAUGGUCUUCCAGAAGCACUUUAAUGCCUACCGAAAGUCCUUCUACAUAGAUAGGCAUUACAGAUCACUUCAAAACUACUAGACACAGGACAAAAGAACACGCAUUUUACAUCUUCUCCGUAAGGAGAAUACCGCAGUAAGAAAGGACGGACAAGAAUGUCCAGAAGAAAGAUCAACCUGAAUCUGUCGAUUGACAGAUACUUCAAGGCAUAUCUGAAACACGCAUAGGCAUAAAAUUAAAGUUAUUCAGUCUACUAUAGCUUAGAAUGUAAUGCUUAUACUAAACGUUGAGACAACAUCUCCUUGGAUUGAAGCAUCCAUGAAGUUCCAUAUAAUAGAAUGUAUUUUGUGAUGCCAUUGUCCAUUGAUUUCAAGCAAGCUGUUCUUUUUCCUUAUUUGUGUGUGCUGAGUUUAUCAAUAUUUUCCUCAGAUCAUUUCAAAACAGCUGAAUCAUUUCCAACGUAAACAUGGUUCAUUAUCGUUUCACAGUGUUUACCCUCUUCAUCUCAACUAAGACCAGUAAUUAUCUGGAUAAACUCUAUAAACGUUGGCUUUCUCUAAUUAAAUCCUUACAUGAGCCAUUAUCUCAAGCCUUAAUAUUUGAUCAGAUGUUCUCUCUCCUGACUCAGUUGUCAAUGAUUCCUUCCUGUGUGCCAGUGCGUCUCUGCUCCUCGCUGGUCUGAGACCAGCUGGCAACGAGUUAAACAGCAGCCGUGGAGAAAUGGUCCUGGAGAGCUUCAACUGAUUCCAGAUGACCUGACUGGCCCACCUGUGUGCGAGUAUUUGUGCAUGCUGGUGCAUUUGAUUUACAAAAGGGUACUGAGUAGUGUUCCUGCUUAUUAUCUCUUUUCACUUGAAGCAGCAUGGUAUUUAAAGCCUCAGCGUCUCUGUGUGUGUGUGUGUGUGUGCGCAUUUUUGUGUCUGAUUGCAUCCCUUUAAAAUGAGUUUGUUUCAUCUCCGCAUUUACACACACAAACCAUAGGAAGUAGGUUUAUCAAGUGCCAAGCCACGAGCUACAGCUAGAAGCCAGUGUUCACUGCCACACACAUAACACACAGUCAGCCUCCAGUAACCUUGUACCAAACAUCAUAAAAUAGACGGAGCAAAAUGUGUUUAAUAGCAAGUAGAGUAUGCCACAUACCAUAAUGCUUUGGCACAAAACACACUUCCCCGUGGUUUCUUUACUGGGCACCCUACGGCCUCCGUCAUGCACUGAGGGCAGUUUACGAUGCAUGGGAAAACGCAGCCUUGGCAAGGCACCCAACGCACUCCAAACAGUUCAGUUACCACUAGGGAAUGGUGGCACACAUCGACACAGCUUGUAAUACAAGUAAAAGAAAAGCAAGUGGCUUAUUUUGAUUACUCCCAGCAUCCUCUGCUGAAUAUUUACUGCAUAAAACACUAAUAAUUUUGUUGUUUAACACUGCAGAGUUAAGGAUAGAUAAGCGUUAACUUUGGCUCAAAUUAGUAAUCCAUAAUUCUUUUUAGAAAAUGUUAGGUCAUUACAAUAGGCUUUAUACACAGUAUAUAUUCAGGCCUGUCAAUGGAUUAAAAGAAAAUAACUAAUCAAUCUCACAUUUUGAAAUAUAUUAAUUGCGAUUAAUCACAAUUAAAAGUAUGUUUUUCACCGAAAACUACAUUUUACAAGUAAUGAGUAAUCAAUUCAAAAUGCGUGUAUUUUAAACACAACACUACAUGCAUUUCAUCCAUCUUGGAGGCAGAAUUCCACCGGGUGGAACAUGUGGAACUAGCGACUCUUCCUGCUGUCCUCGUGCACUUUGCUCUGCUCUCAACUCUCCAUCAUUUGAUGGCUAUGUGCCAACAAUCUCCCGGCAUUUAGCCAGGACAUUUUCCAAACCACUGUUUUUUAGGUACACAGUCCUCUCCAGACUGUGUGGCCCGCAUGGUAGAUGUUGCAGAUGGAAGUAGCCUAGUAGCUAUCUUAGCCUUGCAGAGGCUAGAGGAUGAUGAACCUUUAGCGGUGAAGAGUAAGAUGUUUAUUUGCUUUUCGGGGGUGAUGCUGGCAUUAAAAUGAAAGGCAACACUGAGAUGUAUUUGUGUGACGUUAGUCAAUCAGAAUAAUUUGGGCAGGAAAGUCCAGAAUUAGAAUCUGAAUCAGCUUAGUCAUGUACCGUAUGCCCCGACAUGUUCCGUGGCGCUCACAAACAGGUAAUUAGGGUGUUUGUGCAAUCCCCCGCGGCGUUGUUUGCCGAUAAAUUAACCACAACAAUAGUGCCUCUGAAAAGAUUACGUCGCAACUGGUCUGACGUUUUUUCUAAAAAAUAAACAAACUCAUGAAAUCCGUGAUUUCGAACCCUUGUUGAGCUGUUUACUGACGUCUGUCAUGUUUAAUGAAGAGAGGGAGACAGAUGCAGACAGACAGGCAGAGAAGUUCAAGGCAGUUUUACUGUUCUGCAAGUUAGACAAGUCUACUAGUUUUGUUUAAUUUAAUUCGAUUUUUGAAAUUUGAAAUAAAAGGUAGGUCUUAAGUUGAGCUGCAUGCCAGCCUGGUGAGGUAUGUUGUGGUGUAUUAAUGCUGCUUAUGCUUCAACUCUGUCAGAAAACAGUACAAAAAAAAUAUGCAAUUAUGCACAACAUGGAUUUAUCUCAUUUACAAAUGUUUGCAUAAUGCCAGGAAAAAAUCGUACUGUGUUUUUUUGUUGUUAAUUUCGUCAAUAAUUUUGGCGAAGGGUGCCCUUCUGUUUUGGUUUGAGCACCUGCACCCCAAAAUGUCUGUGCACGUGCCUGGCACUCACAUAUUGUACAUAGUUUCUUUUUACAAAUGUCGGCCAAGAGAAAGACAAACUGUUUAGAAGCAUUUGGAUGGCGACCUAGCUAAGAAAAUAAGCUCAAUGGAGAACAGUACUCAUGAAUCUUGGUUUGGAGUGAUAAAUCUACAAAGAUAGAGGGUAAAUGUGUCUCCAAAUGUUCUAAUCACACCUUUAAAUCUCAUGAAGAGAACAAUGCCUUCACGGCGGCUCUCAUGGUUUGCAAAGAUUCCGCCUUUUCUCCUUGCUUUCCUCUGUUUUCUAUCUGAAUAUUAAUACCACUACUCAUUGCGAGUCUUUCGAGAAUGUAAGUAAAAUGUUGCAUUUAAUAUUAGCAUUUAAAUCUAGCCAUACCUUGAAAAAGCAUUUGCUUGAACAUAUGAGAUUUUACAGCAUGGAUGGUUGUAGCAGAUUGCAGUUGGCUAAUCAUAUUAUUGCAACCUUCAUGUCCGUCCAGAAUUGGAUUGCUCCACAUGCUGAAGUGGUGAGCUAUAUGCUCUGUAUAUAAAAUAUUUGGACGGUGACUUUUCUAUCUUCUGCACAAGAGAUAAUACAAGAAAAGAAGUGUCAACAAGUCCUAUUCACAAUAAUACAUCUCCACUACUGUGUAAUAUUUCCAGAUGCUACUAUGUAUAUUAAAAGGUAUGGCUGUGCCAAAUGUCCUUUUUUACAUCCAAAACAUUUAAUGAGGGUUUUUACUUUAGCUUCCAAUGUGCAAAAUAUGACAUAGUAAAUUUGAAUAACGCGAUUCAUUGGAUUAAAUUAGUUUCUUAAAGGAAGAUAUUGUAUGACACUUGCAGGCAGAAGAGUACAGAGUUUAUUGAGGUCAGUGAAAAACAUGUGAAAAUUGGAAAAUAACUAAUUUUAAAGAUCUUAUUUAAUUGUGUAGAUAUCUUCAUAUAACAGACCAGCUAAAGUUCUAAAGUAGAACUUUGCCUCGCAGGGUACUGCCUCGGUUCUAGCAGCUCCUUAAUUAGGCUUUUUGCAUUCAGGUGUGAAACAGACCCUAAUUAGAGGUUGUUUUCUUUGGUCUCUUACUUACCUCACGAUUUUAAAAUAUUAGACCUGUUCCACUUUUUGACAGUCGUGAACUCAGUUUAAUUGAUUAUAAUGACACAAACACUCCUUGGUUUGAGAGGUGAUUGUUGACAUGCUCAUUAUUUAAGCAGCACGCCUCGAAGGGGACAGCUGUUUCUGGAUCCAAACAAGCUCUACAGCACUCCUACUUCCUUGACUGCAUUGCUGUAUAACAUUUGAUGUCACUAAAAUAGGCUUGACAUCGACAGCUCGGCUGAUCGAGUUAUAGUAAAGUAGUAUAGUAUGUAAACGUGCAACUGUUCAACACGUAUGACAUCCCAAAUAAAUCUCUGUGCCGACCCAAACAAAGACAUUUUUUGACCUGCAUAUUAGAAAAUCAGUUCUUACAGAAUUCAUGAUGAAAGGGGGAGAAAACUGUUUUGCAUUUACACAAACAAUUCACAAAUCAGUAAUUCAAUGUUCCUAAUUUAUGCUGGCAACAGGACGUCUGCCUUUCCAAGAUUGCGCCAUCUCACAAAAAUGUCUCACUGCAGCAGAAGAAAUGACAAAGAAAAACCUUAAAAAUCAGCUCAGCCCUUCAGCGACGCUGCCAGUCACUCGAGCAGAGCAGACAGAUAAACCUCAAACUUGUUUGAGGAAGUAUAGAACAUUUUGCUACUUCCCGUACCGUGUCACGCAAACAUUAACUAAUGAUGUCAUCUGAUGUACUUUGAUCAUGCGGGGGGUGUUUGGGCGCGUUUGUUCAGCGCUCGCAGCUGACCUUUUCCGCACUAGAGAUGUGAACUCGUCACAGCAGGAAGAGCCCAGAGGUGUCAUGAUAACGUGAUUAAUGGCUGCAUUCCACUAAGGUACAACAGUUUCUGGUUACAGGUUGCACUAUUAUGCGAUCCUGCUCAUUGGGAGGCUUGGAUGGAAUGGAGCCAUCAUCAAUGAUGAAUCCUGAAAAAUGUUGCUUCUCUAGCCUUUUCGGCUGUCACAAGCCACAAGUAUGCGGAUCUCCAGAUAAAACACACAAGAAAACUCUUGAUUAUUCCACACAUUCCCUCAUGAGAGCAAACAUGCGGCAGUAAGACUGACUUCCAUGAUGAGCACAUUUUAACCCGACUCACACAGCUCCCAUCACUCUUGCCCACAGAUGUACAACCUCUGGAUGACCCCCAAGGUGAAAAGGUCAACCUCCCGGGGUCAAGUUUUACAUCAAUUUUCUUCUUUAGACACUUAGAUGCACAAAAAUACUCCCUUCAUACGCAUGUGCAGACACGAGUACACAUACAAACUCUGGAGGGUCCAGGUGAACUGUGAUCCCAAACACUGAACCCUGUUCCCUCCCCCGAGACACUUACCACACACUCGGUUUUUCUCUCCUGAAAUCCUGUUGAUGUCUAACCAUCUGUAAGAUGAUCGUCCUUUAGAAGGUCGGGUGUGGGUUUUUCAUAUUCAUGUCUCGUUGUGACCUCACCACUUUCAUUUUCACCAUAAACGGUUUUGAGCCCAAACAUAAACAUAAACACUGCACUUUACAGAUACCAGGUAGCAUGUUUCUGUCUCAAACCACACAACAGUAAAAGCAUGGAAACUUUUACUCGUAAAAAUAUAUAUUUUUAGUUCUUUGUAGAGAAGAUUAUAAAGGCACUGCAACGUAAAAGCUGAGCCGACUCUCGUGUUGACAGAGAUUUGGAAAUCAAACCUAUUUAACAUUUGCAUAUGGAACAAAUAUAAUGUGAUAAUGAGAAAAGGGUGGAUUUUUGGUUAAAGCCAUUAUGAGAGACAUCAUUCCAAACUAUCCUCAAUAUGAUUAAAGCUUUUAAACGUUGAAUUGUAGCUUUUCAUUUUUACUUUUAUGGUUUCAAUGUAGUGAAUUCUGCCACUAUAAUUAUCCCAUCCAUAUCCAGGUCGGUUUCACAACAAUGAAACCCAACUGUAUCUCUAUACCCAUGACUGCAUGAUUGUGGUGCAGGGGAUUUUAUUUUCUCAAACCCAGAUGCCAGCUCCCAUAUUGUAUAUUUGGUUAUUCAAAAAUAAAAAAAUGUGUGGUAGACUGUAUUCUGAACUCAAAAACUUGAGGUUUGGGAAUCAGACAAGAGGUGGGAAGACGAAAAUCAAGACAGAGAGGCCAACUGCCGCUAUUAGCUUCUUUUUUUUUCCUGACAGAGUUAACGAAGAUGGAUGCAUCAGUGAUUUCAUUGGGCCCGAGACAUAAUUAUGGUUUCUUCAGGCUGAAGAGGAGAAGAAGGGCAUAGUGGAAAUAAGUGACAACCAGUCAGAGCAAGAUGUAACACGUCUUUUGUUUCAUUAAUCCUGUUGCUUCUAAUCUCCGGUUUCUGAUCCGCAUCUCCGUGAUGGACAGACUGUGCCAGGGAUGGGAAGUGUUGGCCUUCUUUCAGCCCGGUUCAGCUGGUCGGCCUAUUUUUCUUUAAAGUUAAAGAUACAAUCCAGUUUCCGCUUUAUUACAAAAGGGUCAGUGCCCUGAGAUGAGGAAUGUGUAUAAAACAUGGACUUAGUUUCUGUGGCGUCACUCAUGGAUUUCUGACGAGUAGUUGUGAAGCAAAAAGGGGGAGAGUGAGGUCGUCACCAUCUUGGCUAAUCGAGAUGUGGACAGAGAGGUGGAUCUUCGAUGAAGCAGAAUAAUUAGCGGAGAAAUACCUGACAGCAUCCACCUGUCACUCAAAGCCAACACUAUAACACUUAAAAGACGUGUGAAUGAUAUAAGAGUUAAAAUGCUAAUGCUGCGCUUGGUAUAACGAUCAAAUAGGCUCAUGUCUCAUACUUAUUCAUAAUUUGACUGCUUAUAACUGCUGCAGAAGGUCACUCAAAGGGCCUUCAAGAUCGCCUGGGGCGAAACUCCUGGGUGCAAAUGUGCAGAAAAUGGACAGCAUUAGUAUUAACAUCUGUGUUCCAGAGGUACAGUAGAUCAUUGCAUGAUGAGCGACAAUAAAAAAAAACCUGAGACAAACGGGAAUGUUUGCGAAAGAAAUACUAUCUUCUACCUUGCAAAUAUCUGAUAAACCUACUAGGGGUGUAACGAUUCAUUUUAAUAACGAUUCGAUUCGAAUCGCGAUUCAUGGUUGCCGAUUCGAUUCAUGGACGUUCUGGGUUAAUUUGUUGUUAAUGGGUCGAUUCGAUUCAGUGACUUAAAAUCGAUUCAGUAACUUUACUGGACAGUGCAGGCAAAGUUUCCGAGAUCCCUGUUGUUUCUUGUAAGGAAAUCACGUUUAAAUUAAUUAUGGAUAUUAUAAACAAGCAAACAACAAUUAAUGGCAAAUGUAUUACCUGUACCUUUUAUUUGAAUCAAGUGCCAUUUUCAAUGUAAACAUUACACAAUAAUUACACAAUGUUUGGAUCAAUUUACAGAACCCCGGAUUUUCAACCACAUUGUAGGGUCGCAUGUCUUUACAGCUAAACUUGGCAAUUGUUACUGUGACGUUGAGUUUCGUGGUGGCGAGGCCUGAGGUGUCUGCAGAGCUGGAGUUACCUGCUGCUGCUGCUGCAGCGGUGACGCUGCUAGAGGUGCCUGACUGUCGGCGUUGUUUAAUCCCACGGCGCCUUAGUAGAUGGCCGGAAAGAUUUGUCGUGUUUCCGUGUUUUUUAUUUGGCUUCUACAUAUUCUACAAACAGCGACCGACUUAUUUAGAACACCUCCGUGUUUGCAAAAGCCAAAAUGUUUCCACACGCUGGAUCAAUAAGUUGGUUUGUAAAUGUCUUGCUCGCAGUUGUCUCCUCCACGCUGUGUUUUGUUGUUGUUCCGAGUUUUGCGCGGCUGCCGCUGCGUACUGAUGACGUCACAGACAGGCAGACUGAAUCCAGUAACGUUUAACGUGUCUAAAGUGCUAAAAAACAAAUAAAAAAACACGUCCAUACAGUUUUUGUGCUUAAAUCCAAUGUGAAGCUUCCAAGUAUCGAUACAAUCGAUUACGUACCAUUUCAAUCGAUUUGUAAUCGAUAUAUAUCGUCCGGAAUGUCGAUUUGCAAAGCACAGAUCGAUUCAGUUGGAUCGCAGGAAUAUUAAUCGAUUCAGUGAAUGAAUCGCUACACCCCUAAAACCUACACAUGUGCUGCCUACCACAGUUGUCAUUCGAAGAAAAGACAUGAAGGAAAGUCAUUGGUUAUAAAAAAAAAAGAAAGAAAGCGGAAUAAAGGAAAAACCAAAAGAAGUAAUCAGAGAAGUAUUUUCAUUUAUGUGUGGCUGUGUGUGUAAAACCGCAUGCCUGGGACCCACUGCUCUGAUUGCUAUGCAGGAAUGGAUCUGAACAAGAAACACUAACUGGAUGGUGGGGUUUAAUCGGCUAAUAAACAUUUUAAUUAGGGGCUUUUAAAAAAAAGGAAUGGUACGGAGUCACUAAGACUAGCUCUCCCUCUCUUCCGUCUGCUGUUUGGGCAGAGCGCCUAAAAAGCUGGCCUGAAUAACGAAGGAAGGGUUUGUGGGUGAUGGCGCCUCCCAUCCUAGAUUUUGAAUUAGACCCAUAAUACCCGAGGGAAAUAAACAUUCACUUCUAAAGUCCCACAACACAGUGGAUCAUCACUUAAAGGACAUAAACAGUUUUCAGGACUACUAAUUUUAGAAUAACCUUUAGAAAAGAAAAAACAUUUUCAUUAAAUGUCCCUGCUAGUUUAUUGUUGGAAUAUGUUGAGUUUCAUCUUACCGACCUACUUGAUGACUUAACCGCAGUAAUAACAAGGAGCAGCAAAGAGCCUGUUUCAACUUGUGUCAGUUUUUUUUUCUAUUUAUUCAAAUAUUAUUGAUUUUAUGGACCGUUGAGGCACUCAUGUGAUGUUCUUGAAUAAGUUUGCCAGGAGCUUUAGGCAGACGUUUCCUGAGAUCACAAUGACAUUUGUUACUUACUUCACUAACAACAUGUUGAGAUUGCAGAUGUCUGUGUCGAGCCCCAUGUUAUUUAUGUAUAUUAACCCAAUCCAUAAUCUUUUUCUUAACAUAAAGCUAUGGUUGCUUGGGAAAGAAAAAGGUUGGACAAAGACACAAGGUAGGAGUGGAGUAAGUAUUAAGGUCAUUAGAAUAAUUUUUGAAAUACUACAUUGGUUUGUUGCUAAAUAUUUCAAAAGCAUUUUCAAGAUGAAAUUUACUACACAUUACUAAACAUAAAAUGUCCUAAAAGGAGUAAUACAAGAGCCUUUUUGGCGUCCUCUAUUUGUGGAAAAAUCCGUUAGAUCGUUUGUAAUAUAAAAAACUGGGUUGUUCGGACAAAAAUAGGAUGAUAUGAUAAUAAUGCUAAACACAAAAGCUAACGAUUGUAAGAGGCUGCAUCAAACCAAUGAUUGAGAUGAAAGGACCAGUGUGGAUUUUUGAACAGCUCUGCAACGUUUGACAUGAGCAGCUGGGGGUUCAUGCCAAAAUAUUCAGAUGUGUGAAACCUAAUAACUCUAUAUGGUCAAAGAGAUAAUAUGGUCUCUCUGCGGUUUACAUACAGUGGCUCUUUUCAUUGGGACUGUUGUCAUUUCUGAUAUGCCCGUGCAAAUAAACAGGCUUUCCCACUGUUCUGGCACUGUGUUCUGCCUCUAAUCUAUGGAUAAGGUGAGAAGUCAGAUUGGGUCAAUAUUUGUUAGUCUGGAAGCUAGUGAUCAAUAUGGACGGCUGAUUUUUGCAGAGCUGAUAAGAAGCUCGCUCUGAGAGCAGAGAGAUUCCUGAGAUGACAUUGCUCUGACCACUGGAUUGAAUCUGAGGUACCUCUCCUGGUCAGGUCGGUCAGGAGGCAUGCCAGCCCCAAAAACCACCUCACCCCUUUUUUUGUCGUGGGCCACUGCUGCACUGGCACCCACCCGCCCGCUGUAAAUAUACUCCAGUACCUCCCUCUGUCCAAAUGCACACAUCCCUGAGUUGGCGGUGAGCCCAGCCUGCCUUAGGAACUCUAGCACUGCGACCACCUGCUGCACAUGCAUCACCCAGGUGGUGCUGUGGAUAAUCACAUCAUCCAAAAAGAGAGUAGCAUAUGUCGCGUGUGGACACAGACCCCGGUCCACGAGGCCUUUGAAGGUGGCUGGCACCAAACAACCCAGAGGAAAGCUUGGUGAAUUGGUACAAAUAAAACAGGAGAAGGUCUUUUUUUUUUCCUCUGGACUCUGGUGACAGGAAUCUGCCAGUAGCCCUUAGUUCAAUCCAGUGUUGUGAAGAAACGUGCAGUGGCACAUUAUUUAUCCUGCGAUAGUCCACGCAGAACCGUGUAGAUCCAUCCUUCCUGACAAGAAGAUGGAUUGUGCUACGCCAAGCACAGAUGAAGUCGUCUAUCACUCCUAUUUCCAACAUAGCAGCCCAUUCAAAGGGAGAACAUGUAAGCAAACUGCGUCCCAGAGAGAUGGGCUUCACAAAGUCCGGUUUGGUGGACUUUGGAACUUUGGGCUUCAGCUCCUCUCUCCCCAGACACCAGAGAAACAGACUCAGCCUCUCUCCGCCCCUGUCAGCCCGCACCACCUCAUAGUUGACACCCCCCCGACACCAUGUGACCACAAAGGGCUCUUGCCACUUGGCGAGGAUUUUGGAGCUGGAACAAAGAAGCAAUACAAGUACCUUUUCUUGUAUUUUUUUCAACCAGGCACCUUUGUUUUACAGCUACUGAUGAUGUUCCUAAACCUGGACCAGAUUCUCACGUGACAUCACACCAAGUGCUUAUAAUUUUCCUCCAUGCUCCUUUGUCCACCACACCCCAGGACAAAAUAUGCUGCCAAGGGCUGCAGCCACCUGGGGCUGAAUAUCUUAGCUGCUGGGCAUAGGCCAAGGGCCCCCCUGCUCCAGCCUGGCCUCGCAAAACCUCCGCAGGUCUUGGGACAACUCAAUGUUCCGGCGCAUAUCUGCAUACUUAUGCCUGGCUGGCGGGUCACCGUCUGUGCCUCCCCCGCCAAGAGAGGCACGAGCCGGAUGCCCACCUGUGGCCUUGAAUGUCUCCAGAAAGGACUGCAUGUCGUCGGCUGGUGUUAUUUUAUAUAGCAUUACGCCGCAAUCACGGUGUGUUUGGCGCUGGCGAGGCUGCAGCUGGCCGUGCAACGAGAUGUUCCAGGGUGCCUCGAGGAACUGCCGAUUUCUUCCGUCUGCUCCCACUGUAUGGCAGCAAUUCCUUCCAGAAUUAACGAAAUGAUCGGCUGGCCGUUGCUCGGUCUCGUGGCUUUCCAUGUGCCUUCUUUUUUGAAGUGUGCUCUUGUCCGUACUCCCAAGUGCACUUGCCGUUUUAUCCCUCACCGUCAGAUUGUCGAGCCCUGCCAAUCAGUGCUGCUGUGUACUGCUGCACGAUUUAAAGGAAAGACAUAAUUACCGGACCUGUUGUCAUGUUGUCUUUGUUUUAGUUUAGAUUUUAUUUACAUGCUAUUUGCAUGAUUCAUCAAAUGACGAUUGGGAACUUUGUUUUCUUAUUUCAACUAUAGGACUCAUGCUCGGAUUUUGGGUCGGUCUCUGGGCUAAAUAAGAGCAUGCCCUCUGCUGUGCACAAAGCACAUGAAGCGAAAAGUUAACGGAACCGAAUUGUUUAGCUUGUGUGUGUAGCUUGUGUGAAAAAUGCCUCCAACAACAUAUUCUCAACCCACUUCAGAGUCAAACAUAACAUAGGAGUAUAUUUUUUAUUGCCAGGUUGCUGCCGCUAACAGAGAACGCAAUCCUCAGCAUGCCGAAUAUGGUAACCUUUCAUAAUUUGGUGCAAAAAUGGCUAUGGAUGGAAUGUAGUAUGGUAAAUGAAAAAUUCAAGGCUUCAAUAUGGCAAAAUAAGCAAUAGGUGAGAUCACGAUAACUACGUACACUACAGUCUAUGAUGAUAACAGUAUAAUUCCUGUUUACUUUGCCCAAAGCAUUAUAGGAACUUGAGGUCUAGACCCACACGUCAGCUCUGGCCUGCAUGUCUUAAGGCUUUGGGAGGAAACAACAGAAUGUAAAGACAACCAACACAGGACGAUAGAACUCCUCACAGAGGGCUGUUUAUCCAGAGAAAACUCAGGACAUUAUUAACCACUAAGCAUCUUUGCCAACCUUGACUGAUGUCACCUGCCAGAGCUUGUGGGCACAGCAGUCAAACCGUUUCCUCCUGCUGCCAUUAGGAUAGUCAACAGUGACUCCAGUCGCAGUAACUCAGAUACAGAAACAUUUACAAACUUGCUAUCCUCCGGAAUCUGAUCCUCCUUCUGCUAAUCCCCUGCACGCGCUCAUAGUGUGUGUGUGUGUGUGUGUGUGUGUGUGUUUGUUCAUACUAAUCAGUUAGAAACACCCAUCCUGUCCACAUUUAUAAACACGUACACCUCAUAAAAGGUCAAACCGCAAAACACUGCACUGUGCUGAGUCAUCACUAAAUUCUUACAAAUUCCUUUGUAAGACUUUUUUUUCAUGCAGAGAACAAACUGAAAAAUAGGAAGAAAAAACAAGCCAUAAAAACCAGGCCAUUUGUCAUAAUUUCUCACUGCAAGUAGCUGUAGACAGAAUGAGAAAGUGAUGGCGGUGGCAGGGGACGUGAUGUUGCAUCUUUAACAGGGGAGACCCAAACAAGGAGGGGAGGAUGGUACUGGUGCGGCUUAAAAAAAUAGCACUAGGACUGAGGUGGCCCCUGAUAUGAAGCGUAGCGUGGACGUUAAGGUGAUGUAUGGAGCUGCAGGCAGGAUAUCUGGUUAGUGUAGAGGUGUGGGUGUGUAUGUGCAUGUGUCUGGUCAGUGAAGAGGGAACCGUAAUGCUGUUGUUCUGGCCGGACUCGUGACUACAGAACACAAGCCAUUCGUUACACAGAGACAGUUACACAGCAAGUUAAAUGAGGCUUAUCCAACAGUCUGGCUCGAGGUGUGUAAGUCUGUGUGUGUGUUUCAAUAUGAAUAUGAAAUGUUUGUGUACGUGGGGGCGUGUAGAUGCAAUGAUACAUGCGAGCACCACACUCAAAAUGCCUUCAAAACAUACACUAACCGCAAACCCCGCCUCACAAAGCGCGGCUUAAUGUGAGCCAAAUCAUAAUUGAGCUUAUUACUUUUUCCACAAUGACAAAGUUGUUUGUGUGACACUCCUAAUUCUAGAACUUCAACAUGGUCCUGCUUUUCUUUGGAAAUUUCCCUGGCUGUCGUCUGUACUCCUCAACACGCUGAGUACACUUGCUUUUUCCAGAAAAAGGCAACAAGUUUGACAUAAUUGAUGAAACGAAACAGGGGAUAAGCAGAAUAAACAGCUCAAGACAAACAUUGCACAAUGAGUUUUCUUUUGGAUUUGAGCAGACAGAGCAAGGACAUUGAACUUUUCCAUGUGACAUAAAAGGACAUAGAAAAACGGCCCAGAAUUAGUCAGGACCAUAUUGAUAACAUUAUCAGUACUUAAAAACAACAGGAUUUAAAACAAUGAUCUCCUUUGUCCUGGCUUUACAGCCGCUUUGGGAAAAAAACAAAAGAACUUCUUGCCCAUGACAUACCGCAGAAUGGAAGAAAAAACAUCAGAACUUUGUUUUUUGCUUCAGCAUUUGCAUUUCUAAAAUUGUAGACCACUUAGCAUGCAUGAUCAUUUUCAAAAGACGCUCUGCUUCACGUCCAGGCAGUUGCAGUCACACUCGGGAGCUACCAGUUUAACCACAGUGUAACACUGAUGACCACACAACUUUGCAGGCAGUGUAGGAAACACUGAGCCUCUGAUCACAGACCUCACUCCAGGCUACAACGGUUCCUCAAUCAGCAGCUUCUAAUAAAGGUCUUUCAGUGAGUGAACAGAUUGAAUCCAAGUUUAACGGCAAGUCAGUUGCCACAUCACAGGUGUUACGCUUAAUUAGAUCAGUCGUCAGUGCCAGUUGGCAGGAGCUGCAACAGAUUAUUUCAUCCAAAGCAUAUUAGACCAGUACCUGUUAAGAUGGGACCAUAGAAGUAGAACCGACACUGUUUUUUGUGGUUUUCGGUAUAGUUACGUAAACUAGCUCAAAGACGCAUUGCUGGUACAAAAGGGUCAGAUCAAAAAAACGAUGCAGGACAAAAGUGAGACCUUUAAGCUGCUCCUUCAUCUCUAAUGUUUUAAACCAGUUGGUGCAUGCAGUGACUUGACAGGAUAAAUGCAUGAGAGAAGCAGGUUUUCGUUAUUAUUUCUCACCACUGUAAUGCUUUAUUUUUGAACCACUGAACCAACUUCUGAAAUCUCCAUCCACCCACUAAAACGGCCUCUCGGUCCCUCCUUUGCAUCACUCACUUGCUCUCCCUCUCUCUCUUAAUGACGUUAAUACAGCAGAAUGGAUUAUCCAGAUUCCCAUGGCUGGUUGCCUGCGCUCUGCUCCGUCUACCGCUUCCCUCCAUUUACCAGAGGGAAUCAUUCACUUAGCCUUAUCGCUUUACACCAACGCUAUCUAGGCACACAGUGGCCGAGCAAACACACUGAUACAUGACAAGAAGUAAGUUUACAUGGUCACAAUGUGGACACAAGGUAAAGUUUAGAGGUGGGAAACACUGACAUCGCAGACAAGGUUUGGAAACCUAAUGAGGAAGAUCAAACACAAGAGGUGGACUGACAAACAAAAUGUAGCACCUCCAAAGCGCUUUGCAAAUGUUUUUUCAGAGAAGAGGACACCAGUGCGCAGAAACAACACCGUAUUCCCACCAUUGCAUGUGGUGUAAUUGCUCCACCAAACCUCUCUUGAAUCGAUUAUAAACUGACGAGGCAGAUUGCUCCCUCAGAACUUACCAGACAUUCGAUGGUGAUCACACAACAGCCUGUAGUUCCAUUAGGCCAACAUUUCUAAGGGCUGUGCAGACAAAGACGCGGAGAGGUGAGGGCAGAAGGGCUUGCUGGAAGUUGAAUUAGUAAGGUUCGACAUACCGCAGGCUUGUACUUCUUUAUUCUUUCAUUUGUUCCCAUGCUGUGCUUUACCAGAAUGACCAAAACACUGAAAUAAAAAAAAUAAAUUGAUGGUAAAUAUAGUUUGAAAAAGAUUUAAAGCUAUACUUCUAGAAUUUGACCAUUUGAACAUCAAUUAGCCCUAAAGUUGAUGAUAUACAAAUGAUCAUCAUCUCGCCUGUCUCAGGUAAUCUACAGUUGCUGACCAGGUUUCACCUCUCCUUCGAUGGGAAAAUGAAUCUUGAUCAGGAUUUAAAAACUGCUGACAAAGACUUUUACACAGCAUGAAAUGCUUCACAGCAAUAGUUUCUAUGCAAAAUAAAAACUUCCGAUUAUGCAAUAACAUGCAUUCAAACUACUAGAGAGCAUAUGCAUUCCUAAAAUGGGCUUGACGAUACCCUGCAUUUGUUUUUUUCUUCCUCAAUCCGUUUCUUUCAUUAGUAGCUCUCUGUUGCCCACAUCAUAGUUCUGCUCAGCCAGUGACAGUUUACGUGAAAAAUAGGCGCAUGGAUGCAUCUUCCCUUCGGUCUCUGAUCUCUAGGAUAAGACGGCCCAGAAUCAGAGGCGUCUACCUCCACCACAAACUGUCGCUCGGAAUCUGGCUGGAUGAGAAUAGGGGCUGAAGUGAAGCGGCUCUUGAGGGUCGCAAACGUGGCGUCAGCCUCAGGAGACCACAGGAAUGACAGUUUCGUAGAAGUUAGGCGAGUGAGAGGGGUAGCAACCUGACUAUAGUUGCGAAUGAACCGACUGUAAAAGUUUGCGAACCCCAAGAACCGUUGUAGGUCUUUACGAGGGGGGAACAGGCCACUCAGCCACGGCUUUAAUUUUGUGAGGAUCUGUUCUCACCUGCCCACCCUCGAAAAUAUAACCCAGGAAUGACACGGAAGGGGGUAUGAAAUUCACACUUCUCAGUCUUAACAUGAAGGCGAUUCUCCAGCAAUCUCUGUAGUACAGCUCGAACGUGCAUGUGCUUGUGAUCCUCCAGAGAACGAGAAAAAAUGAGUGUCGUCCAGAUAAACAAAAACAUACUUAUGGAGGAAGUCUCUCAAGACAUCAUUAACCAAGGCUUGGAAUACAGCUGGGGCAUUGAUUAAACCAAAGGGCAUCACCAAGUAUUCAAAGUGACCUAACGGGGUGUUGAAAGCGGUCUUCCAUUCGUCACCCUGACGUAUGCGCACCAGAUGGUAAGCGUUGCGGAGGUCUAGUUUGGAAAAGAUGGUGGAUCCCUGUAUGGGCUUGAAAGCGGAGGAGAUGAGCGGUAGGGGGUAUUUGAUUUAAACAGUGAUCUCGUUAAGGCCACGGUAGUCAAUACAGGGAUGAAGUAUCUUAUCCUUUUUGGCAACAAAAAAGAAACCAGCUCCAACUGGUGACGAGGAGGGGCGUAUAAUACCGGCGGUCACUGACUCUUGAAUGUAUGUCUCCAUCGCCAUCCUCUCAGGACGGGAUAGAUUGAACAGGCGACUGGAAGGUAACGGAGCAUCGGGACGCAGAUCGAUAGCGCAAUCAUAAGGUCUGUGUGGAGGAAGAGAGAGCCUUGUCUUUACUAAAUACAGAACUUAAAUCAUGAUAAUCCACAGGUAUGUUGGAUAGGUUGACCGGAGAUUCUGGCGGAUUGUUGGCCUGGUUGGUGACGGGUGACGCGGAGCGAAGACAUGAGGACAAGCAAUGUAGGCUCCAACUGUCAAGGAUGCGUGGAGGAGGCAGGACUCAAAUGCAGACUUCACGGAAAACGAAAGACUUUAAUAGUCAAAAGGCCAAAAACACACAGGAACCAGGGGGAAAAACGGCAGGCAGGAAACUACGGACAUCCACGACAAUAGACAAUGACGCGACAAGUGACACAAGAGACACACUGCUUACAUACACAAGGGAGGUGCAGGUGAUUGGACACAGGUGGAAACUAUUUGACGAUCACAGGGGAUGACUGGACAAGGCAGGAAGUGAAGUUACCCGGGGACACGAGUGGCAGAAAACUACAAAAUACAACAGGAAGUGAACCACACCGUGACACCAACUCUCAAUUCUUUGGCUAGCCCAGUGAAUGUGUGGAUUAUGGAUUGCGUCGGGGUCGGGGCUGAGAGUCUCGGAGCGGGGUCUGGGGGCGUCGGGGUCGGGGCUGAGAGUCUCGGAGCGGGGACUGGCCGAGUCGGGGUCGGGGCUGAGAGUCUCGGGGCGGGGACUGGCCGAGUCGGGGUCGGGGCUGAGAGUCUCGGAGCGGGGACUGGCCGAGUCGGGGUCGGGGCUGAGAGUCUCGGGGUCGGAGGACCAAGUCGGGGAACGGGAGAUCGCUGCGGCGGCCCAGCGGGAACGGGAGAUCGCUGCGGCGGCCCAGCGGGAACGGGAGAUCGCUGCGGCGGCCCAGCGGGAAGUCUGUGCUUCCUCUGGCCAGGGCUCCUCCUGGGAUUUAGAAGAUCCCGGAGCUCGAGGCAGGCGAGCUGAUAGCCCCUGGGACCGAAGAUGAAAUUGGUUUUCCGCCGCCAGAAUGGACUUCUUACGUCCAAGUACUCAGGUCCGUAAUCUGGCAGCAGGUCUGCUGAGCCCUUCUUUGGUCGCUUCAUUCUGUCAAGGGAUGCGUGGAGGAGGCAGGACUCAAAUGCAGACUUCACGGAAAACAAAAGACUUUAAUAGUCAAAAGGCCAAAAACACACAGGAACCAGGGGGAAAAACGGCAGGCAGCGGUGGAAGAUAGGCCUCACGAGGGCCGUGCUCACGCAGGGGCUAAGGGAAAUUUGAGUUCGGCGGAGGAUAACCGCGUAAUGGUUUAUGGGAGUUUGAGUCCCUCUCCUUCCUACGUUCUCGGAUGCGGUUGUCGACCCUGACUGCUAAUGAAGCUAAUUCUUCGAAUGAGGCUGGUUCGUCACGGAACGUUAGUUGUUCCUUAAUUUGAUCAUUGAGCGAAUUCAACAGGAUACCUCUUAGGGCAUCUGAACCCAAACCUGUCUCUGCAGAGAGAAUACAAAACUCGAUGAGAAAGUCUGCGACGGAUUGAUUUCCCUGCCGCAAGAUUAAUAAGCGCUUUGAGGCGUUAUUAUGGCCAAGUGGAUUAUUAAAAGUGGUACGAAAUUUCUCAACAAGUCAGCGAAAGGAUAAGACUCAAGGGUGUUGGUCCUGGAGAAGGCCAAGGCCCAAGCUAAGGCUUUGUCCUUAAGAAGGCCAAUCACAAAAGAAAUUUUUGCUGAAUCCGAGGGGAAGGAGCGAGGAGACUGAGUCAUGGCAAGAGUACACGGAAGGAGACCACCAAUGUCACCAGCAUAGGAGUCAGGAGUAGGGAAGGUGAUGUUCCAGAACUGAGGCUCAGCCAGAGGUGUGGGGGGCACCGGGACUUGAGGUGGCAUAGGUGGGUUUCCGUCAGCAGGAGACACUGUGGAGAGAGUAGACAGAUGAUCAUUCAUUUUCACAAUCAUCUCGAGAACUUGGUCCAAACGUUGGUUACAGUGUCCCUGUUGGUAAUUUAGUGAUCGGAGAGCCUUAUCAUGCUCUCCCAAGACCAGUCCCUGGUGGGAUAAGGCUGAAUGAAAUGAAUCCGCCGAGUCCACGUUUGGCCAGAUCCUAAUGUCAUCGGGUGAUAGUCAGAACGAGGGUUGAACUCAAAAGCAGGAUUCAGAGGAUACAAUUUUUUUAUUUUGGCAGCAGAGAGACUUAAAUAGUUCAUCCAUCAAAUAUCACAAACAUGAACAUCUGAACAUCGCUCACAAAACUUUGCCUGCCACAGAACAAAAACUCCCUAAAAAACUGUCGUGGCACAAACGACUACUGUGUCUAUGUGGAGGGGUCCUGGCCGUGUUCUUCUUCUUGUGUUGGUCCGCAGGUACACGUUGGGAUGUGGAGUCUGCCAACCUUCUUUCUUGUGAGGCACCCGUGUUGUAGACAGUCAACACAGAUCACAAUGCACUGUGUGUCUGUCGGUCAACUGCCUGUCCGUGGUCACUGGAUCGGUGGUGUCGGUUGAUUGACACUUGUUGUGGAGGUAGGGUCGCCUGAGCCCACUGCUGGUACUGGAUCUGGAACCUUCUUGCAAUGGGAUGCGUGGACCCAAGUCGCCCUUUCAGGUACCUUGACCGCUGUUUGGGUGACCAGGAGAAUCUGGAAUGGACCCUGCCACCGUUUAGCUUUCCAACUUUUCCUCCUGAAGUCCUUCACCACCACGAAGUCACCUGGUUGCAGUCGGUGUAGUGGACCCGUUGCUUCUCUCGGAAGUGCAGCUACAACCUGUUUUCUUACAUCAGACAAAGUGGAAGACAGUCGAAUGCAAUAGGUUAACAUGUCAUUCUCGCACAUUGUGGUGGAAGGGAGUGGUGUUCCUGGAGCUGGCGGCAGGAGCGGUGCGGUAGAUAGAAUCCACGCUGGAGGGAGAGGUAAUGAUCCGACUGGCUUGAGGAGUUCUCCCAAGCCGCGGAGGGCGAGAGGGGAAGCCGGGGAAUCCGUCAGGUUCCGGCGAAGCAGGCUGGGAUGGGACUGAAACACGAAAAAAAAGUCAAUGCAACAAAAAACUCUUUCCUUUGAAAAUCAAUCUCGGGUGAGAGGUGGCCAAGUUACCACUAGGAAGGCAAAACGAUCUGGCGAAGACUGGUGCUCCUGCUGUUCCUUAAGAGGGGUUCCUGACGAUCGUAAAUACAGUAUAGGUGUGACAGCAGGCAGCCACCAGACUCCGCCCAGGUAACCAGGGAAACCUGCUCUCCCAGUCUGAAACCACACCUCCAAAGCCAAGUCAGAUCAUGACACAGAGUUCCUUUUUAUUUUUCCCUCAAGUGCCUCUUGACCAACUACAGCCCAGAGAUACACCGCAAAGGAAGCUGUAAUAAAUAUCCUUAUCAGGACCAAGUUAAACCUGCAACAGCAGCUCAGCAAACGUUGCCAAUGUGCGCUCUACCUCAGAUGUAUCUGCAGGAGAGCUUGAAUAAUAAACCCAGCGAAAGAACCGGGGUGAUUGAGAAAGCAUACGUGAGAGUGGAAAAAAGGAUGUUUGUGAGAGUAAAAGCUUCUGAAGGAAACAGAGGUGAGAUUGUGGCAGAGGGGCAAAGGGGGGAGGACAGAGGGGCGGAAGCAGGAAAAGAGACACCUCUGCCAGUGGGUGAAAAUAAUGUACCUGAGAAAAUGAAUAUGCACAUUGCAAUUCCCUAAUACAGUUAGCCAAUUAGCUGAGAGGCAUGCCGUUCCAGCAGAUUCGUUACGGCCUCAAUCAAGUCAUCCGCAUUCAUUUAAACUGGCAUCGAAGUGGAAUACAAAUGGAAAAGUGCUUGCUUGAGUUUAGAGUAAGAGUAAACUUUUUUAUUCUCUCAUCUUUCAGACAUAAUUCAUAUACUGAGGCACCAUUUUCCAUUAGUCAGCCUCUAUCUAAAUCUCUCAUCUUCCCCCUCGUCUCCCCCAUCUCCCCCAUCUCACAUUGCAGCAAGGCUCAGCAGAGUGCCACUGGGCUCAGGGCAAACCUAAUUUGGACCUAUUAUUUCUUUCAGCUUGUUUGACACAGUUACAGAGGCUAUGCUGAAGUCAAAAAUGUUAUUUUUUAAAAACCCAUUUCCCCUUUACUCUCCUUUCCCUAUUUUUCAGCGUCACCCGUCAUCACUUUUCUUUACCUAGAUAUAUUUGCACUCCUUCCCCUCUAGUUCCCCCCUCCCCUUCACUCUAAUUAAUUCUGCUGUGAAUUAAUUACCAUGGGGAAUCUUCCCAAAACAGAAGAGAGAGUGGGGAGUAGCAUGGGAGGGGAUCUGAAUUAAUCAACACUCUCAUCCUCAGCAAAGAAAAGAAGCAGCUUGAAACAAAAGAGGCCACGGAAUGAAAGAAAAACACCACAAAAACACACAACCAAUAAAAUUGUUUACUUCGCCCUCACCUCUGCAGCUCAAAUCCCAUGGGGAUGUGAUUAGGAAAAUAGAGCUCUUUCUCUCCCUUUUUCCCCCCCGCUGCUCUCCCUUGGUCCCCUCAUUCCUCUUUGAUGAAGUUGUGGGAGUUCACAGGGAAGCGGUGAGGCUGGGAUAGCGCCCGAGCACAAAGCACCAUGGGAAGAGCAAACUUUGGCUCAUCCGAGGAGAGGGCCGGGAAGCGUGUAUAUGUGUGUGUGUGUAUAACAUCUCUCUGUGCACACUUAUACCCACGAGUGUGGUCAUACCCAACCGAUUACAACUUCAAAAGGGAAACAUCUUAACUUUAGCAUGGUUUCACCGGUGUUUUACCUUGCACCCAAUCACCACACACACACACACACACACACACACACACACACACACACACACCGUGCCCCCCCCUGUCCCUUUCCCUCUGCAUGUAAAUCAAGAUGUUUGUUUAGCAUUAAAAACAUAGAGGCUUGUCAAACUUCGGGGGGCCCAAAAAAAAACAUGACUCAAUCCCACUUAUGCACAAGUUGCUUUGGUAACCAAGACUCCCAGGAAGAGCGACAGCGUGGGGACGCCAGAAAAGAGCAACCGUAUUGGACAACGCGUCUCUGUCAAGCAAUAAUGCGCUUUUAUUUAUGAUGGCUUCAUUCGCAGCUUGGGUGGGAGACAGACGACAUGUUCAUGGGUGGUAUGUGAGCUAAGUCCCCGCCUGUGUGUGUGUAUGUAGGGAGAGAGGGCGAUACCGAUCACACUCACAAUGAAGAUGUCAUCAAACCGGGCUUAGCUCCCCUCCUCACAGACACUUGCCAACCCCAUCCAGCCCAAACACACUUGCAUUCACACACUCGGACUCCACGUCGCGGCCAAGCUCAGAUCAUAAACACAAUAGCUGUUCCCAUGCAAUAAAAGGGGGGAUUUGAAUAAAAUCCUAAAUUGUGGCUCAACGCAUAGUGUCCUGACCCAUUGUCAGAGGGAUAAAACUUGUCGGUUGAGAUCAUUUGACUUAUUCCACAUGAAACAUCCUGCUCUAUUCGUAAGAAACCUUCAAUUAGUUUCAAAGACUCAGCGCUUUUUAUCAGACCGACUGACUUCGGUCUGAGUACCAGCUUAAAAAAACAGUGGCAAAAAAACGCAUGAUUAUCCCUCCAGACUGCGGUUUUCCCUCAGUUCAUGUUCUUAUUAUUAUCUUAUCUCUAACUGCUGGCAAUUCGUUUCCCAACAUCCACCUUCUAAAACCCGGAAUAUUUUUUUUACUGCUGUUGGUUAAGAUUCCAAUUGAAAUGGACCUCAGUGCCGUUUGCUCGGCAGUGGACUGAACCGGCAUUUGAUGCAGUUCAAAUGAAAUCAUUCCGACCUAGCCAAAUUCAACAUACUAAUGGAGAAAAUUCUCUAGGGAUGAAAAAAAGCAUUUUCUUAGCAUAAAGUUAGCUCCUAAGAAGAAUGUAGCUUUCCCUUAUGGAACAUUUACACAACCCGGCCCCUUUCUACCAAACAAUACUGUGAACAUUUUUGAUUCACCAAGGUAGAGAAGUAGAAAGUGGUCAAUGAUAAUGUUGUAACAGAAGGAAAAGCUUGCUUUGAUUCAUGUUUGUGAGGGGAUAAUAAAAGGUAAAUACAGUUUUAAAAGGGUUUUGGAUGAAAAGUAUGUGGGGAAAAAAAGCAGAAAUAUCGCCAGCAUAUUACAAUAAAUGACACUGCGUGGGAGUAAAAAGUGCAGACGUGUUAUAUAACUUCUGGUAAAGUUUGUACUUGAGCCUGUUUCAAAUGGGUAAUCAUGUUCAACCGUGUUGUGUUGAAUGAGGAGGAUAAAUGUUGGUGGUGAACCAAAACAUCCAGUGUGGUGGAUGUUUUCUUCCUCUUUAAAAGUUGAUGCAAAUUUUAUGAACUGCAAUUGAUUAAAAUGUUUGUGCUGUGUAACAACUUGCACUCUUUGUUAACCCUUUAAAAUGUGACUACCUUUGCUUGGCAUUCACAGCUAGUAUUAGCAUAUACUAUGAUAUAUGAUUGUUCUUCUUAUUUACCUUUGGGUUAAAAACAUUUUUACACUUAAGCUCCAGCAAUCGCAAACUUGGUAAUACAAGUGUAAUGUUGUCAUGUAGUCAGUGACCAAACCCCUGUUUAUUUGACUACAUUGGUGCACUGUAACAAAUUGCUGUAAAUUUACGGUGCAUUUCUAACGGUAUCUAUAUCUAUAUCUAUGUUAUAAUAACAUAUCUAACGGUAUGUCAUUAUAACUGUAACAUACAGUUAAAUUUCCAUCCCUUGCUUGUCAAUUAACGGCCAAUGUCAUGAAUAAACAGUUAAAGCUGUCAAUUUACAUCGCAGACUACCAUAAUUCAACUGCAUGUUACAUUUAUUUUAUGAAGUGGUGGAAAUACACAUACAAGUGCAGUGAAUCACAAUCCAUCUACAUCUGUUGUAGGUUAAUGUAUGGAAGCCCAUGUCAGCCACUGAAAAACAGGUCCUGUAAGUCAUCAUAAUGAGAUAGUAUCUCAUGAGAUACAAUGAUGACUUUAAUUUACAGGACAUUACUAUACAUGCAGCUGUCACUUUUAUCAAAAACGCCCAUGGUUUGAGAUAAUUUAUGUGGAGGAAUUGGGGGUUAGGUGUCCGGCUCAGGGAGACUUUGACUUGGCACAGGGAGUAGCCAGGAUUUGAACCGGCGACCUUAUGCUGCACAGCACACCCUCCCUAUCCCAUGCACCACCUUCACUGUCAUUUCACUAGCCGGAAUGUAAAGAUUGUAAAUAUUUGUAUUAUUCAAAGUAUUCAUUGCCUAAAAGUGAUUUGAGUGUUAAUCGUGACCGACUGCUCCUGAACGUGUAAUUCGCAUAAUCUCAGUUCAUCCAGAACACCAGUGCAGUUCAACAUCGGAAGAGUUUCUCAUUGCCUCGUCUCUCCAAAUAACGUUGGUAAGUGUUAUUUGCCUAGCAUGAUUGACAUUCUCUUUCCUUACAUUUUGUUGUCUUCCUCAUCUUUGUCAUUUUAAUAUUUUACCAAUGACAGUGUUUCUAAAUAUUUUAUUUUGGUUUGUUUUACAGAGGCACUUGAUUAAGGACGCCAGCCGUUUGCUGCGGUCAAUUGACCAUAGCGUGUUCCAUAGCGUAUUGUUGCAGUUAGUUUACCUUGUUCCUAAUAAUUUUAUGAUUAUUUUUUUUAUUAUUGUAUACAUGCGGCAUAUUUCAUGUUUUGUUCUUGGUUACAAAUGCCUAACAUUUUUAUCUUAAAGGCAUCUAAUAAACUCCAACUGCUAUGACCGAAAUGAGUUUGGUUGUCUUUCUUUAAUUUAUGGGGAAUUAAAUGCAAAAGUAUACGGUUAUAAGUAAAUAGUAACAUUCUGGUAUUUAUAACACAAAAACAGUAAUCGUAUACCGUAUAUUACGGUAGGGCACUGUAAAUAAAACAGUAAGUUACUAGCGUCGACUGCCAGUAAAUUGCAGUUAAUUCACAGUAAAAUUGGUUCAAGUAUACGGUAACAUUAUACCGUAAAAUAACGGUAAAUUCCUGGCGUCCUUUCUGCCGUUAAAAUACCAUUAAUUUACAGUGACAUUUUUUAGAGUGUGUAUAUUUUGGCAAACCUACACCAUACAGAGUCACGUUGCAUCACUUAGCAGUUUCUGGUGGUUUUCCAAUGACUAAUAGAGAGAGAUAACAAUACAGAAUGAAAUCAGUUCUAAAGUGAAAGAAGUCUAAUUAACAAUGUUGUGAAAAGAGAUCUGUACUUAUCAGUAGAACAAUGUUAUGUACUUAAAACAAUUCAUGGAUGAUUAUUCAGCUCUAAGGAGCAAAGGCCUUUAGACACCAAGUCUGUUCUUUUAACCUUUUAUGGACGGAAAUUUUGCUAACUAACUCCGAAGAGUUUUUACAUUUUUAUUGAUUACCAAAAUUCUCAAUGAAAGACAGAACUAAAUUGGCUAAGAAGGUGCAAUGGAUGACGUUAGUCCUAAAUUGGGCAAUCAAAUAAAUUACAUUAGAAAGAAGCUGCCGGCAGCAAAAUAUCUAAAAUCUUUGUUGUCAACCAUGGCUUAAAUGUAUGAAUCGCCUUCAUGAAUGAACUGAGGUGAGAGAAGGAGGGGAGUGAGACUGGGGGAACACAGGCUAAGCUAUCUAUAAACAAUCUUCUACUACAGACAUGCAGCUAAGAAAGUGGUCUAAUGGUCAAAUUUGUGCAAAACAAUACUUUGCUUUACGUCCGAAUAUACCUUUAGAAGUUUAAGAUUUAAAAUAUUUCACUGAGCACAGAAAAAGCAAGAGGCAAGUAUCAAAGGGUUAAGCUGCAAAAGCAAGACAAUCCCAGAGCGUCAACCAACCGAAUGACACACAUAUCUCAGUCUGCCGCCAUCUGUCAUUUAGGACAAACUACGUCAACCUCAGUGAUGCUUUUUCUGGUGUCUAGCCAGGUGACUUUAAUGAGUCUGAGCCUAAGCUCCUGUCCUCAGCACAGUGGCCUAUCGACAGCAUUUGGAAGCGGGUAUGAUCGAUGAGCUACUGCGUCAUUCCCCAUAGCGCACUCCGUCAGAACCGUCGCUGUGCAGCUCGUGCCAAGCCCGUUGACAUCCAUAGACAAUGUGAUGCAUGAGUUAUUGAGCCAGGUUCUUCCCCCCGACUAGAGGGUCCCAAGCCCCAGUAAAAUAAUGGGUACAUUUUCCCCUGCUCUAAUCCCAUCUCAAGCCAUGAACUGUCAGCCGCUAUCCCAACCCGGGCUGCAUACAAACCAAAGCCUUGUGUAUUUCACCAUGAAUCCAGGCCCAUUUAAUUUAGCCAUCUUUAUCGCCACAGUAAUCAGAUUAUUUCUCCCAGACAGAACAACGUGUUCUGUUCCAUCCAGAUGUAUGCCAACGGUCCUUCCACUCUAGUGUAUCUCAGGGAGGUUGUGAUCUUCAGCAACACAUGUUUCUACCUCAUGUACAGAGAACCUCUGCUUGUUGGAACCAGCAUCAUGCUGCUGGGGAGGGGUGACGGAGGAACUGUGGUUUAUUGGUGAAGGAGCUGCAGGAUGAGAGACAUCCACACAAACGCGAACCAGAUGGAGGGAUAGAUAGAUGGAUGGAUGAAAAGGAAGGAGAGCCUGAGUCAUCCUCUCUCUCUCUCUACCUCAGUUCCAUUGGUUUCAGUGGAGGCUCCGAUGUAGGCUGUGUUUGCACAUAAAAGAAUGGCUACUUUGAACUCAACUCUACAUUGGUCACAGCAAUCCACCCUUGUUUAUAGCACUGUAAGAUCAUAAAAUGGAAGUGGUUCAACCAAUCUCCUCUGUUCUUUUUACUUGUAAAAAACUUGUAGAAAUCUGGAGUGCACCUCAUACAUUCUUCGUAAGUACCCCACCACUAAGGCUGUCCAAAUGAACAUGUUAAUCUAUGCGAUUAAUGUGUCAUAGAUUAAUUCAAUAAAAUAUUCUAACUCAGUUAUCGUAACUUUGUAAACGAAACCGCCUCUAGCUGCAGUCAGUUAGACAGGAGAGAGUGAGACGGUAACGUUAAACAGAAGGGGGGUGAGUGGCUGGCAAUACAUUUGGCACUGCUAGGCAAAGCUAGCUCCUAGGCUACUUACGUCUCAAUAUCUACUCUGCGCGGCACACGGUGUGCAGAAAAGCACCACUGUGUCCCUGUAAGUGUCUUACAAAAGAAAAGUGGUUUGAAAAACGUCCUGGCUAAAUUUGGGGAGAUUGUUGGCACUUCAAACACAGCCGUUAAAUUAUGGAGAGUUGGGAGCAGUGCACGAGAACAGCAGGAAGAGUCGUUAGUUCAACAUGUUCCACCCGGUGGAAUUCUGCCACCAAGAUGAUCAAAUGUGUGUAGUGUUGUGUUUAAAAUACAGUUAAACAACAGUGUUACACGCUUCUUUAGAAGAAAAACCUUUAAUUGCAUUAAUGAAUGUGCAAUGAAUUUGUUUUUUAUCUAUUGACAGCCAUAAUUAUAACUAAGAGUUUAAACCCCCCAUCAUUUGUCACCUUUUAACACCAUUUUCGUAGGAAAAAAUGUUUUGGGCUGGAAAUACCAUAAAUCCAACAUGAAAAGGUUGUGUGAUCCUAUGACAUGCGCACAUAACACCGAGGCCUUCAGGUUCAAGAAGUUUCAAUUUGUUCACUGUUGGUUUUAGACAGUUAGACAGUGUGUGUGUGUGUGUGUGUGUGUGUGUGUGUGUGUGUGUGUAAUCUUCAUCAGACAUUUCAACUUGUCAAACUGCAGACAAACUGAGGCAGAGAAAGUGUAGUUUAGGACAACCAAAGAAACACAAAAGCAGAUCUAGUACACUAUGAAAACUGCAUGGAUAUGUUUCUUGUGUCACCAAAGCAGAUCCUGAGUAAUAUACGUAAUAUACCCUAGAUUGCCUGGACACUCACCGCAGCAUAUGUCAACAUUUAUUUUGAAACAAAUACAUCUUGUUUCAUACUUCUGAGACAAAUAUCAAAGUCUUGGCAGAUUUUGCGGGGACAAUAAGUCACAAAGAUGAAAACAAAGCCGAAGAACUGACACAGCUGGUACUUUGGGAGACGCCUAAUUUUCGGCAAAACAUAAAUUUAUACUGUGACUGAAAUAUGUUCGAAUCAAAAACAUAUGUCAAAUCUUUUGUUAUUAUUGCAUUGGCUGUCUUUGUAAAGAAACUGCUGUCGCUUCAUGUUGGUAUCAACUAUACAAAGUUUAAAGUUAUGAAGCUGUAUACUUUCUCUUCUCUAAAAUCUGAAAUUCAACCCAGUUCUGAAUCAGAUAUCAGUCGGUUUCCACCAGAGAGUGGAAGUCACACCCCCCCCUCACCCCAUUCUGCUGACUCGACCAACGUUAGGGACCCUACACGUCGCCUCUUAAGAGAGAAAGAGAUCAUAAUGACAGAAGAGAAAAUAACAAACAUGACAGCUCUGAUGUCACUCACUGUCGGCAGCAUAAUAUUUGUUUUCAACCAUGGCUUAAAUGUAUGAAUCGCCUUUAUAAAUUAACUGGUUUUUGAAUAUUCUAUGGGAUGUUUUCGAGUGCAGUUUGAGUGAAAAGCCAAUUGACAUCUUACUAUCAGCCCAUAAAUUACUUUGUAUGCUGUUGUGUCGAUGUUUAGCAAGAAACAGAGGUGGGGUCACGGUAACUCUUUGACUAACUUAGCUUCCACUACACUUAUAAAAUCACUCCUGACCCCAAACUCACACUUUCACAGGCCAUCACUCCAUCGCCACUUACCGGUAGAUGGCAUGACGUCCCCUGGUGUGCAUGCUGUUUUUCCCCCGGCAGCGUUUGGUCCGUCAGACGGAGGUAGUGCCGACCUGAGGAAUGAAAGACGAAAGAGGGAUGAGGACACACAUAAUCAUCACCUUGCCGCUGUACUAUUUCGGACCACUCAUGAUUACUUCCUUUUUUCCAUACAAUCUCUUCUUGAAAGUAUUUAGAUUUUAUUGUCUUUUCAAGCAUGGCUGCUUUAUUUUCAUCUUCAUUGUUGAUGUGUCAUUAAAACCAGCAGAAGCCAAAGCAUGACUUAAAUUUGCAUCCAACUAGUUAGCGAGAGAGCUUUCUUUCAUCACUCUUGAGAGCCAUUGCACUUUCAAAACUUGGUGGAGUUUUUCUCCAAAUUGAAGCUGAAAUUAUUUUGCAUUGACUUUGAGCAAAUUGAGACACACUCUUAAAUCUGUUUAUUUCUGUGCUUACUAGUCUUGUCAUUGUUUGUCCUGUGAAAACCCCAGUUGCCUCAAAUGGCCCAAUUGCCAGAGAAUCCUAUAUAACCUUUUUAUUAUACACUUACAUUUUUUAUCAUUGUUGUCAUUUUUAAAAGGACAAGUUGUUGUUCAAUCCUUCUGUUUACAAGGAAGACAACGCAACAGACUUAAAACAAAUAUGUUUCCAAGUUCAUGUUAGUAAUGUGUUUAAAAAGAGUUGGCUGUUGGCCAAUGCAAACGGAAUCAAAUUGUUACAAUUCAAUUCCAUACACUAAAAAAUAAGGGCAGAUGUUCGGAGGCGAAACCCAGGAUAGCUCCCAAACCAGAGAACUUUGUGGGUACCUUGAAUUACAAAGUGGAAGAAUUGAAACUAGAAGUUGAGCCCAUAAACUCAUGUAAGUAAAAGGAUUCUAUACAUUCAGACCUCUUUUGGCAGAAAGCGAAAGGAAGAGGAAUCGCCCCGGGAUGGCCAUUUGCAUCUGCAUUAGCUUUCAGACCUGGCGGUGUGUGUGACAGAUAUCACAUACGCACACACACACACACACACACACACACGUAUUAAAAUUAGCAAAUAACAAGGAGACUUACGACAUUCUGCAGGACAGGAACUGAGGAACAAUCGCUGCCACUCUAUGAGCCCUAACCCACAUAUCGAAAAAAGCAGUCCUCACUUGAUUAAGCUGCUCUAUCUUCUGCUUCUCAUUAUCCAGAGGAUAUCUUCUUCUGCUUGCCCUGCACUGAUAUAAGCGUUGCACAUUAAAUCCCAGCAUUAAACAAAGACUUAAACGUCUGGUCAAAAGAAAUAUAACAAAUCACAUGUUUAAGUUGAGUACACAAUCAGUUAAUUUGCCAACACUUCAUGUUUUGUUGAAAUAAACUAAAUUGGUGUUUACUGAGAUUUAGUCAACUCAGGGGGCAUAUUCAGAAAAAUUGACAUAAGUCACUUGAUUAAAGCUUCAAAACAGAAUAAUACAGCCGGACAUCCAGCCUAGGAGCCUUUUCGAAAGACAACAGCAAACAACAAACAUGAGGAAAAACAGGGUCAGACCACUACUUUAUUCCCUGUGGUGUGCUGCAGCAUUACACUCAUUGUGCUUGAGAUUGGCUGAAUACAAUAAAGUGAUCCAAAUAGCAUGAUGGUUUGUAAUAUGAACCAGACUUUAGAAAGGAGAACUACACAAUGAAUAAUACAAAAUAUGAAAAUAAAAAUGAUUUGAAAGUGAUUAUUAGAAAUAAGGGAAACCACAAGGCAUGACAGAAGAAGAUGUCGUGGUAGGAAACAGAGAUAAUUUUUCUGUUAUGGUGACUGAAGUAACACAACACACGAUGAAUGUUUGAACUAUCUCAUGGAAUAAGGAUGAAAAUAUUUUAGGACUCCUGUCAGCAUUUUUGUGCCACUCUGUAUGCUGCGAACAGGUUUCCACACUGACAUCGGUUAACAGGGUUUACUAAGGGGAGAUUAGAUCCCGUUGAGUACUUUCCUUCUGUAUGCUUGAACGGAGUUGGGUAACUAAGGUAAACUAUCAUUUUAGGAGAGCUUUGUUGAAAUGGCACCAUCACUGAGUUCAUUUUACAGUGUAUUGCACAAGGUCAGACUUGCUUUGGGCAAUGAGCAUAAUUAACUCCCACGGUGUAUUUGGGUAAGAUACAAGCAGGUUCAAAUUAUAUUAUGUACGUUUAUAAGGUACUUAAGAAGCCAAAGAUUACACUGUGGAGAAAACUCACCAAAACCUCCUGGUAGAUCUUCUUUCAGAAUCUGUGUCAUUGUCAUGCGAUCGGUUGAGCGAUCUAGCAUUGAACUGGAGAAAACUGCAUAUUUUUAUGGUCCCUCAUCAUGGCAGCCUGCUCAAAGACCCAAAUGGUUAGGAUGAAUCAGACUUUUUCAAAACAGUUGCCUGUUUUAUUCUGCCACUGGCAGCCUGCUGACUCCUCGCUCCGCACUCUUCACUGAUCUUGGUUUGAGACGGCUGAAUGCAUCCUGUACCCUCUAAUCUGGUACUUUGUAGCGGUGGGAUGUGCACACCAGGCGGAGAUUUGUCACCAUCACCUAAGCUUUUUUUGCUGUGCAAAGCGACUACAGACAGACUGAUCUCGGCAUCCCGGCCCCUGGUCUAUCCUACGACUGCAUGGAGUCAAAGCCCCAACAAACUUUGCACUUUUAACACUUAUGCUGGUAUUCAGAAGUCUCUCCUGAUUGAAUUUCUUCCUUUUGAACCGUAAUGCUCUUGUUGCAGAUUCUGACCAGGGUGUCAUUUGCUUACCAUUACUGCAAAAACGUACGUUACGUAUUACAUCCUGUAAUUACAUUUGUAAUUUGUACACACACUGUCCAGCUCAGCAUACUAAGCAAUAUUUGGGCUAAUGGCUCACAUGACCAGUAGUUAAGUGGGCAGGCGUCUGCAGCACCCCCAGCAGUGUAGAGGAAAGACCAAGAAAUAACUUCUUUCAUCAAUUUGGGGCUGCGACACGCCGCAUUUUCGGCCAUCAGUUGAGGUAAAGACGCUCAUUCUCUCUCUGAGAACUCUAAAGUAGAGUUAUAUGGACCAUCUGCUGAAAAAAAAAAAGUGGAAGAGAGAAUGCGGUCGAGUUUGUGUAUUAUCAGUCACUGGUUUGUUAAUGGCCUCGAUCAGUCACUCACUGGGGAUAUUUGUGGCUGUACAGUAGCUGCCAGGAAAAAUACAAACCGUCAGAGAGACAAACACACGCAUUUACAGCAAAGUUAAUUAUCCAACAUACAAACGCACAAGUUCUCCCUCAAAAUCCCUCCUUCAUAAUGCUUUUGCUGCUAUCACUUAACAGUCUUCUGGCGGAACCCAUCUCAUCUUCCCAGACAUUUCCCUUUAAAUAAGCCAUCUGGCUACCUCUUUCGGGCCACGAGCUUGUCACCACCAUCACAAUGAAAGACCCAUAAUCUAACUUUGGCUGGUAACUCCAGCCUCAAAAGACAAUUAUCCCUCUUUCUUUGUAAAGUAAGAUAUGUGGGACAAUCUGUGGCUAAAGACACCAUUACACAAUUCCUUUGGCUUAGAGUAAGGCAGGUUAUCCAAUAUAUUUCAGUGUUUGGAAAGCUCCAAUUGUUUAUCUCUUCCUUCCUAGAAUCCUAGAAGUGUAGAAAACAUGGAUAUUUCCUCAAGCAAUGCUGCAUUUUUGCCACAUGUGUACUCCAGAUUCAGCACUUUUAGAGCUUGGAUGGCAUUGACGUUGCAAACCAGCUCAGAUAGCUUUUCUCCAUUGAAAAGAACAAACACAAAGAAAUAACCGACAUAAGACUUUAACUUGAAUAGAGGCUAUUUAUAAAAAAUCUUCUGUUGAGGUUGCAUUAGCUGAAAAAGUCACUUCAGGUUAUACUUAGAGCACGCCCUUAAGUCAACUAUAGCGAGCCAACUUUCCUUUAUACAUUGUCAUUUCUGUCUUCUUUUGUCCAACGCUUGCAUGUAACAGUUUUUCCAAGGUUUACUCAUACAGAUUACUUGUGUAGCUUGUGUAGUCAUGUACAUAUAUUUCAGAGCAAUUCCGCCAUUUUAUACAUUUGUCAUCUAUACAUUAUUUCACUUUAUUGUAUGAAAUGUUAUGAUGUGAAGCACUUUGAGUCUGCCUUGUGUAUAAAAAGCGCUAUACAAAUAAAAUUGCCUUGCCUAUACAUUCAGCUCAGGGAUUGGUUAACCUCUUAAGACCCACCCAUUUGUUAGGCCUCUGCUCAGAAUUAGCAUACCCAUUUUUUCUCUGCAACUAUCCAUCCACAGGAUCGUCCAGAAAAGGACGUGCCAUGUUCGAGAAAACACUUUAGUCUUUAACGUAACCGAGAUCUUUUUUUGUUCAUAUGUGGAUACUGCGCUAAAAUACGACUGAGUAUUUGAAUGAAUGAGGAAAUGAAAGCGUGCUGUGUGAUUGGCUGGGCUGCUGUCAAAGGGAGGAGACUGUGAAAGAAACUUGAGGUUCAUUGAAGAAAACCUGCUCCCAACCAGGUUCACAGGCUGAGUUACCAUGGUGACUGACCCAGAGCUUUAGUUACCUCCCUUUGUAAAACAGACAAGCCAGAGUUUCCAUCAUCUCAGCGUUAACCAACUCUGAGUUUUCACUAAACCCGCUUCUUGAAACAGACCCCUAGCAUACGCUGCCAUUCCAACCAAUGCCAACCAAUGAUGUGGAAUUACUGGGAAAUAUAUAUAUAUAUCUUUCGUGGUUAAACAGUUCAGGAAGAAGAAUAUUUUGGACAAUUGUUUGAUGAAGAGAUUUCUGUUGGCGUUCUUUGGCUCCUACCUCGCAGAAGCUUGAUGUUAGCAAGAAUAACUGAUAUGUCUGUUUUAAUCUGAUCUAAUUUGAGCCUUUACAGCAUAACGUGUCAUAGAGUUAAAGCCAGAAAUGCGGCGAGUGGGAUGACUAAGCGGCGUUAUAGGAAUGUUGACAUUUGGUAAUUCAUUCAGUUCUUGGAUUGUGUUUGGAGCAGGUAAAAAUGGCUUCCAUCAACUCGUAGCCCAGGUCCUGCGGUUUAAUUUGAUAUGUGACUUUAAAUAUAACUUUGUGAUUGGUGAAUUCAUUAAGGCAGUUAUUUGCCAUGUCUUCUCUAUAGGGGGGUUUGGGGUUUAAGAGGAUAAGACCACGAACAGUACCUCCGUACCUCCGCAAACUGCACCGCCUACCUUAUUUCCUGUUUCCUGGCUGCCGCAACUUUCUUUACGUUCGUUACUUAACACAGUUUGCAUGGUGUCCAUGCGCAUAAUCACAUGAUACUUGUAAUACUGUAAAGAGGUGCUGGUCUUUUUACUCUUUUGUGAAAUUCUGAACUGCUGCUACGACAUGCAAACCAGAAUACAACACGAAAUGGGGCCGAAAACAGUUUUAUUUUGGAAGGAUUAAUCACAAAAACAUGCGUUUCAAAUAAUAUUGCAGUUUUGAAUUUGUAUGUAUUGUGUUGACCAAUUAUGCAAAUAUGUUCUUUUCAAAACAAGACACUCUAAUGUGCUUGUGGUGGCGGGGCGUGGUUGGGCGUGGUCGGGCGCAGCUGCAGAGGGGACAGUGGUUGAAGCAACGGUGCCGGCAAGAGGCGUAAGUGUCAGUUUGAACGAAUUGUGUUCUUCACACAUAUAUACGGAGGACGGGCACUGGGGAAGAGGAUGCCAGACGAGAGGCACGUCCUUAACAGUCUGUGCAUAGAAAAUCCUCUGCACCAAUUUAUAACGAGUGGCGAGUUCUCUUUACGCUCUAAGGGAAACCAACAGGUUACAGUGCUGAAAUUGCCACAUCCAAACGAAGUAUAUAUUUUUUCCUGGCGGACUCCAUCUUUUUUACAGACAAUAGUGGUGCCCUGAAUAACAUCAGAUUCAGAGUUCAUGAACGAGACCUCGCCCCGUCAGUUAACCGGGUUCAAUAACGGCCCCAUCGGCUUGGUCCAGAGGUGUGAAAAAGUCCCACAUGUGGUACUACAGUGGUAUUGGUCCGAAUUACGUUAACUGCAAUGCUGCUUUCAGCGACCGCAGCCCCAAAGGUUUACAGAGCUCCCAUUAUACACUUAGCUUGUACUCUGAACCAGGAAACAAGGAGCCAGUCAGCUGCUGCUCCAAAACCACACUGCUUCCUAGCAUUCUGAAAAAAAACACUUUGUUCCCUUUCUUUGUCGUCUGCUGUGAUCACUGUCAAAAAUUAAACCAACGUUUGAGUCGUCUGCCAACUGGUGCACACGCGCAAUCCAAAUUGUGUAGCGAUACUGUAAACUCACCACUUGUUUUGCAGAUGGCUACAUUAUACAAUACCGUUUUUUCUAUUUCAAUUUUAAGUAUGCCCAUGUGCUAAUGGCCACAGCUUUCAUAAGAUCAACAAUGGUUGUGUGUAAUAUACAUUCAUAAGACAAAACAUAUUACUACUACAAAUUACGUGUUUGUGAACUAGCAAAACUUUCAGGACUUGGUUCCUGCUUUAAUGAAAUAUAGUAUUGAGUCCAACAAACAAUCCUAUUUGGACUCAACAUGACAACACAUUCCUGAGAAAUGCAUAUUCAACCAUUAAUUGGACUUGGCCCAGGUGGUAUAACACAGGCUUAACCAAGGUUUGUAUCACAUGUUGUAUGUGUCAAAAUAACCAGCAGCUUAUCAGAGUCACAAGUGCUUUGGUGCCGUUAAUAAAGAACAUUAACAUAAUAACUAUGAUAAAAUGUCACAACUGGCUUACGGUUUGUUGGUACAGAUCACAGGGCAAGGGCCUUGUAUUAAAAGAAUUAGAAGGUCUUUGACAGCGGCUCAGGCUAAGCCAAGAGCGUUGGGCACACAGCCGAAGAUUAUAACUGGGCCUGCAGCAUUCUGCAGUCCCGUUUCCAUCCCAUUUCUGCAAAAGAUCAUGCCUAUUGGCUGAAUACCGUGGUACUAAGUGCCAUGGACAUGGACAGGGAGAGGGAGAGGGAGAGAGAGACGUACUCAGCCAAAUCCACUGGUCCACUGGCAACUGAGGCUGGCAGUAGAAAGUCCCAGCUCCAUACUUUAAACAGCCAACAGUAGAUGAUUGGCCCUGGUAAAACCGACCCACUCUGCCUGCAAAACACAUGGCAGUGCUUACGUUCUUAACCCUUACUCAGGUCCUAUACUAUAGCACAGAAAAGUGGACGGAGAAGACAUUUGUCUCUUACUUCAAAGGAGAACAUAUCUGAUGGCUUUGUCAGGAGAGUCAAGAGGUGGAAUAAGUACACCUAUUCAGCAGAUGGUUCAAAUGUGAUUUGAAAAACUGAAGUCAAUCAGAAAUUGAGUUGCCAGUUGUUGAGAAAAGCACAAAAUACUCCUCAGGAGCUGCUUAAAACACUUAAUACUGGGUAUUAUUUAAUUCUUAACAAUGCAUCAUGAUGAUGUAUCAAAGUUGUUUAAACUCUUACGGCAUGAGUGGAGGUUAUGUAGCUCUUUUUUGCUAAGAUGGAAAUCAAAAGAUAAAUCAAGAUUUACUGCCAUUUUAGCUGAAGGGAUUUGCGAGAAAUGGAAAAUUAAAGACAGAAGCAUAAUUGUUGUUAAUGUUGAAUGUUAAUGUUUACCUUCCCAAAGUUUGUGAUGGAGUGCAGACAAAAUGUGUAACCCAGUCUGUAAUGUAACGGAAGAUGCACGGCCUGUUCUACAUGCUUUUAGACAUGUUCCAGCGCCAGGGUGGGAAAAGCUGAAUGAAGAGCUUGGCUGCAUUAUAUCAUCAUCUAGGAGUUAGUCGAGGAGCAUAAAGAAUGGGUUAGUUUGAUGGUGUGUGUCAGAAAGCCGAACCAAGCAGAGACUUGCGCCCAUGAAUGGAUCUUAAAGAUCUGAAACACUAAAUAAGGAGGGAACAUUAUCAGACCCAGUGGCGGCUGGUGGAUUUAUUUUUUUUGGUAGGGCAUCAGUUUCCGUAAUACAAAAAAGGGUAUCAAACACGCAUUAUUACUUUGCAGUUAAAUAUUUAACAUCAACAGUUUAACAUAAUAAGGACAUCUUAUUCAAACGAUUCAGUAUAUCAAUAUAUAUAACUAAUAUUCAAAAUAUUGUUUAUAUAUACACUAUAUAUAAACGAUAUUUUGAAUAUGACAUCUACUUUCUUUCUUUCGUCACUUUCUCUUCGCUGGUGCACGUUAUUUUUUAACUUCCUUUAUUUUUAAACUAACACAUGGCCUUAUGUUCUAACCUAUAGCAUUAUAAGUUAACCCGAUCAGUGUGUUGAGGAAAGACCAAAUCAAAAGCCCCACAAAACUUCACACAAUUGACUAUUUUUGGAUAAAAUAUGCCCGUUUUCAUCCACGUCCUGGUUGUGUGUUGCAGCUGGGUAGCGAUGUUACACGGCGACGUCAUUACGACGAAUAUACGGCGUUAGCAUGUAGCUAACUAGCUAGCUAAACAGCUAUUAGUAUUACUGCAGGCUGUUGGACAAGACUGGAAAACAAUCGCCGUUGGGUCAAAAACCAUGACCAGCAUAAAAUGCCGGUACGCAGAUUGAAAAAGACUGCUUAGCACUUUGUAUGGUUUUCAAAACUUCCAUAGAUAUGUGUAUGGCCUACCCAAGUUUGUGGCUGAAGCCGCUUAUAUCCAUCAUUAAGAAAAACCUCAGCAAGUAGGCUACAGGUGCUGAUGUCAGGUGUCUUGAAAGGAAAUCAAAGCAGAUUGCCUAAGAAACAUAGAAAGAUCCAAGCUUGCAGAGAGUCAUCAAGCUUAUGAAUAAAGAUUGGUGAGUGUGUACGCCAACAUAAGAGGCAACAUAAGUGUUAUCAAAAGACUGCUCUUGAGGAAUAACGUUAUCACUCCUCGUUCACUGAGACCAGAGAUGCUAAAAAGAUUGCAUGAAGGGAAGUGAGGGAGACCCCGCACAAUCUACUAGCCAUGAAUCAAUACAAGACAGGAUGGUCUCAAGUUGUGACACCUGUCUAAAACAUCAGGUAAAACAGUGAAGACAGCCCAUGACAAUCACAAACCUCCCUGAUGGUCCAUCAUACAACUGUAAAGAGUUCCUGAGUUUUUGAGAAGAAUACGACUUUAGACAUGUGACUUUGACCCCCUUGUAUGCCUAUUCAAACGGUAAGGCAGAGAAAGGAGUGUACAUAGUCAAACAGUUGCUCAAGGGUAGGACAGUGAUUUAGAUCCUAGAUGCUCUAUUUAUUUAAACAUAGGCCUACUUCACUCAUUAUUACACAGUCUAUCACAGAUAAUAAACUGGUUGAAAUGGCAAUAUAGGUUAAAAUUUAGACAAGAUGUCUGUCAAUGGAGUGUUCCGAAAGUUGUUUAUUUUGAUAAAAUAUUGCUAAACAUCCAUUAUUUCUUAUUUUCUUCUGUGUAAUCUCUGUCAAGAUAGAUACCUUGCCUUCUUCUGCAAACCAAGUCUACCUAUGGGUAGACAUAAAGUAACCCAGCCUAAAAAGCAGUAUUCAUACAAUUCACUGCAUUAUAAAACUAAAAUUCUUCAGUUAAAAGGCAAAACAUCUUAUUUUCUGUUCUGUUCUGUUCUUCAUAAUAACUGAGAAUCAUCACUCAGCACUAUGGUAAUGUUUAUCUAUGAAUAUGUGUUAUUUGACUCUUGAAAUGCCUUGAUCAUGACAUCACUUUAGGGGAUAAAUGUUUAGUUUAUGGAAACAAUAGUUUCCAAUGAAUAAUAGAAUAAACCCAACGCAUGCCUCUGUAGCGCUGUCGAUCUAUCAUCGAAGAGGAAUGGACUUCCAUUCGAGAGCAACACAUUCAAUAAAUUAAAACGUCAUCAGGGGCUGAAAGUGACAGUUUAGUGCAGAACGAGCUGUUCCUGUGUUCAUUUGAGACCACCAAUGGCAGCUGCACAACAAAGUCCAUGUUCAAAGACACACAAACGGCACGGUAAACAAAAUGGUGAGGCUGUAGUCCACACCUCAGACCUGAAGGUCAGCACAUGCCGUUGACAUCCCCUUAGAUGACGUGCUGAGACACAGGCAGUGAUUGAUCGAGGGCCAGACAGUAAGAGACAGGCAGACUAACAGGAAGGCAAUUGGGCAAAAAAAAAAAGUUUGAUUGUUUCACAGAAAAAGGCACAUUGUGUGUGUUUUUCGGCGCUGUGAGUUGGACGGAGGGGGAUCUGAUUACAGCGUUGAGACCUGCCAGACGGGUUUUUUGGACCGCGCGCCGCUGCGCUCUGCCAGGAUUGUGUCAAUAAUCUGAGGCUCCUUCCACCGCCUGUCUAACAGCCCUGCCAACCCUGUGCAUAUUCACACACCCACACACACAGAAUACAGCAGUGCAAUACAGCAGAUAACACGCUUUUGCGCCCACUUCAGGUGUAUCUGUUUUGCUACGUGUGCGUAAAAGCAUGGCGAGGUAUGUACAAACAUGCCGGUGAAAGCGCAGACUGCCUGUCGCGGAAACCAAGAAAGGCUAGUUGCGCUUUUCUGUGUCAUGCAUAUGCAUUCACGGGAGGGUCCAAUGGAAAGUGGGAGUUUCCCAUAAAGAAUUGGGAGGGUGAUGCGUAAAGUGCGCAUAAUUAUGUAUUUGGUAUGUACAGAAACCGCCUAUGAAAAGAGGCUUGUUUCUUCAGUGAAAAAUUCUCCGCCUCUUAAAAGCAGGUGUUAACCAGACUGCGCGUUUCCUCCCAUAUGCCUCCUGGUGAAAUUGCACCAGUACCCCGAGCCAGACGGCGACAUAGGACAAGGAGACGAGCUGAAGAUUUUUGCUACAAGGAUCACAUUUUUUCACUUGAGUGAACACAAAUUCAUUACACAUUACAGAUUAAGCAGCCGUGCAAUAUUAGUUACUGAAACGUGCACUUAAGUAUCACAGCGAGCACUAUCUGGGCGUUUGCCGUGGUACUGAUAACGCUACGUUUGCAAAUGUAGCCUACAUACAUGAGGCCUCAGUGGCAUCGUUCUUCAGCCCUUUUAAAAUUUCAUGCAGAAAUACUCACUUCUCAGUCAAUAUGUUCUUUCCUUCAGGGAGAACCGUUUGACUCCCUAACAUAUGAAGCAUAUAUGGCCCAUCAUUUAAUACUUCACAUUUGUGGUUGCAGAUUUGCCCUACAUUAAAUUGCAGAGAUGUAGUUAUUGUGAAUUAUUGUCGGCUGUGUGUGUUUAUUUAACCACCCAUUUACUCUGUUAGUCUUUAUAUCCUUUUUUUCUUUGAUGUAUCCUAUUACUUCUUGCUGCAGGAAACAUUUCUCUACAAAUACCAUUGCCGUUUAACUAAUCUAAUUUCAUCAAAUCUUAAAGCCUCAAUUUUUACCCAAUGCGGCACCUUGGCUUGCUGUCCAAGUGGAUUUUUUGGGGAAAAAUCAUGCAGUUCUGCUCUUUUCGAGCUGCCAGAAGUUUGGAGAAAUGGUCAGGUUUGUUUAGAUAAAGUACAAUGUGAUAUAACAAAAUACUAAUCUGCUCAGCUGUGUAACAUUUGCAAAAGAUCAUCAUGCAGUAGUUAUCAAAGAGAGAUGCUAACUAAAUGGGCAACCCAUUGAAUAAUGAGUGUUCGAAUGUUAGACUGCAAUGUGAAAACGCACGUAUGUGAAGUAAAUUCUGAGUUGUAGUUGGGUUGGAUUAGAGAAUAUCUACAGAGAGGUUCAUUUGGGAUCUUGCUAAAAUCUCCCAGACCCGGGUUUAUCUUUGAUCGCCCAGAACUGUAACACGCCACCAAGUCAGGCAAAGUCUGAUACGGGGCAAACAUCCAACAUGAAUCAUUGGGAGAGAAAAUGCUGAAUAACUCUUAUAAUAAUAACACUAUUUCUCACUCGAUCAUAUUCCACCCUUCGUCACGCUUCACUAUUGUCCUGUCAUGGUUUUACACUUCUCUUUCACUUAUCUCAUUCUGUAUGAUUUACCCAUUUCUUUUCAUUUUUUUUCAAUCUUAAAACCUACAGAAAGACAAAAUAAAUCAAUAGAAAAGUCAAAGAAGGAGACGAGUGACCAGCAAUCUGUGGGGAGUUGGAGGGAAACUACUUUCAAUUGACUUGUUAUAAGUUUAUAAACUAUUGGCUCGAAUGUUUUAACCUUUGACCCUAGAAACAAACGAAGCUCGGCAACAGAUCAGUCUGGAAGACACCUCCUCUCUGUUACUGCUUCACAUUUACUAUGACAAACCGACAAACAGUUACCCGAAGCUAUUCAACAUGUCAACAUUUCAAAACUGUCAGUUGUCACUACUAAAGUAACUAUGCUUGAUAAGUAACUUCCCUAGAUGACGUUAUUUAAUGUACAUAGCUUACGGAACAAAUGUCUGCAAGGAUUUAUUUUUUCUGUGUCCUGUGUUUGUUUGACUCAUCCAUCCCCACUCCCUCUCUAAGCGCAUGUUGUUACUCUUUACCAUGUGACCCAAUGAUAUUAUAAGGAGACCUGCACAUUAGUGCUCAUUAAUACAUUUGUCUAUACAAAUUACAAUGGAUACAUUUACGUUGAUUUGAGUACAAACUGAAUGACAACAUCACUAUUACUGCUUAUAGGAGCGGCAGAGUCAAUUAGAAAUGAACAUUAAGAAAAAAAUAAAAAUAUCUCUUUAGACUGCCAAAUCCAGUCUCUUUUCACUGUCUUUCCCUCAGUUUUUGUGUUGUCUAAACUGUGAAAGAAUUUAAUGUUGGGGAAAACAAAAACCGAAUAAAAUGGUAACAAGCUGAACUAGUUAUGACCCCCGGGACAAAACUUGCUGUCAGGUCCUUAUGCAGGCGAGGGGAGACACAUUUAGCCCUAGGUACUCUGGACCGCUCUGUUCCCUUCCGAGCACCAUUAUCUCUUAUGUAGUAAUACACCCAUUAAGAGUCAAACAACUGGCAAACACAAACGGAGGAGGACAUAAGUGGGUCUCCCAGCGAGAGGCGUAAAUAUGCAUUAAGUAAUUUCUUCUCAAAGAAAUGGUCUUGAUAUAAUAGGAAACAGAUUAUGUCCAUCAAAGUGACACAACAAUGCUUGAUUCCAAAGCACGUUCACUUAUUUCAAGAAUUUUUAAGCAAAACAUGUCAAAACAAGAGAGAUAAAGGCACCGAAAAGAACACUAUAGCAACGAUUUGAGGUCCCUGAAUCCCAAUGACUUACAUUGGCAACGAAUGAUAUUAUCUCACCCCAUUUGCACUGGUUAGACAAAAAAAUGUCACUUUUGUUGUUGUAAGAGAAAAAACAACCAAAGGAGCCCACAACUCAACAACUCACAAACCUGAACAGAUGAGUACAGAGACUGUCAUCCCAACCUCAAUCCGAGGUUGGCCUUAAACUCUAUGAACAUUAUAAUAAGGGAAAGAAAGGCCAAGAUGAGAAAAAUGACAGUAGCUAGUGGACUAUUCAAUUAUUAAUCUGAGGAGCCUGAUUUGACUGUCAGUCUCACAGCUGUGUAUGCGCAGUAUGGUGGUUGUAAAACCAAUAAAUCAUCAUAUAACCAACUAUUAUUACUAUUGUAGUGUUCAUAACAAAAAUACAUCUUGUUCCUCCAAUCAAUCAGCUUUGUGUAAAUAAAAUCACCAUGUAGACAUUUAGCGUUCACGUGCGGUCACAUUUUAAAUUGUUCCCUUGCUUGCUUUCAAAUGGAAGUCCAUUCCUUUUGGAUGAUGGAUCAAUGUUGACCCACAUUGUGGGUAUGAGCACAACCAAACAGAGCGCAGAGCAUUGCUAACUAGUCAGUUGAAAGGGGGAGACAUUUCAAUUUCAGUCUUGGUUCCACAUCAAGUACCAGUCUUAACUCAACUGCCAGCUCAAUGUCCAUCCACAGUCCCAAAAGGCAGCUUCUGCUGCAUUGCCUUCCCUACCAAAGUACCACUUCCACCACACUCCAAACUGGAGCACCGUGCGCAUCUUCCGUCCAAUGUUCCAGCCUUAAUCCAAGUUUCAGUUCCAGCUCCUGUGCCCAGCUCCGGAGCAUCCGAACUCUCGGCACAGGGCAGGCUUGGGGUGGGGCCCGCUGGCUGAAGGGCAUCUGGAUCCAAUCAAGGGUGUUUGUCGUCGGGAAUUGAAUCAAAUUAAAAGGUUUAAUAUUUAAUGCGACACCAGAUGGAAGCGGAGAGGGGAAAGAGGCCCGCGGUCAGCACUAAUAUCCCCUUCUGAAGAGCCAUGCGGCGUUUCUGGAGGGAGAGCUACUGGAAAUUUGUUCCCACACACAAGAGCCCAUACGCACACAGAUGAAAUUAGUACAUCAAAACUGGCAAAUGGACGUGCCGUAGACGGACGUUAAGACGCAGGAGAAAUACGGGUGAAAAAUUCCCCUGAACACAAGAAGAUGGAUUCUUCAAACCAGCCUGUCGAUCAAAAUGAAUGAGAGAGAGGUGAUGUGUGUAAAACGUACCUAAUGAAAGACACACACACACACACAAAUGCACACUCAAAAUAACUCUUGCAGAGUCGUGGAGCUUAGAAACAUCUUAGCUCAACAACUACUUACAUGAAGUACUGCUCAGAACAUGUUAAUAUAGCAUUCAGCCUCUGGAAUCCAGUGCCCCAAAUGACGUAGCUUGGUAUAAACCUUUUUUUUUUUUUAAAUCAUGACGUAAAUCUUUCUGACAUCAGUUUGUAAAGUCUCCAAAUAUACAUUUUUACCAAUCCAUUAAACAUCACAUUUAGGCUUAUUUAUGUUAAGUACGCUGGAACAAAGUCACGGUAGAUUUGAUUUCAUCAUUUGUUACUUAUGCAUUAAGUCAAACAAAAUGUAAUUGUCUUUUGCAGAACAUUAAAACCUGAAAAAUGUAUAAAGUAAUCUUAUUUCAAUUAAUCUAGGAUGAUAUGCUUCGCCUCAAGAAUGAUAUAUCUCAGCACCAGAGAAGACGAUUGUCCGUCAUUUUUUAUUCAAUUUGCUUUAGCCCUGAACUUUUAGUUAAAAGUAAUAUUGCAAUGAUAGAGGAAAUAAAAAACACAGCAGCAAACAAAUGUAUUAACAUAUAUGCACAGAAUAUGUCCAAGCUACAGAAGCUGAAUGUCACCAAACACAUUGUUCUCCUUCAGCUCGAUGCUGCUUCCUCCUGGCUCCCUAAAACCCAACUGAAUGUAAACUUACUUCAUAAUGACAAAACAAAAAGGAGUAAAGCAAAUCACAAAACAAAAGGCGUAAAGCAACCAUCGUCAGUUACUUAAGUAACGUUUAAAGAACUUAGGCAGUUCAAGUAGGACCUGUCAGGAUCUCCAAUCCCCCCCGAGUUGGUUGGAGAUCCUGACAGACCCAAAAGCUUGACCACAGGAGACAGAAUCAGGUAUACAGCUCUUAUUUCAACAACUGAGGGCGGGAAUGUGUGGAGGCGGUGGUCCGACACAGGAGGUGGCCGAGUCGACGGUGUAAGGUCCCGAGGCUUUACACCAGAAAUAACUUUUAGAAACCAAUAUGUGAUGUUAUUCUCUAACAUUUUUAUCCAUAGGAAUUUGAUUGAAUUCUAUUACUUACUCGGCCCGACGGAACGGGACAGCCGAGUUGACGUAGUGGUGGACGAAUAAGGAGCAGCCUCAGGAGGCUGCAGCCGACCAAAUGAGACGCAGCUUGUGUCUCCUGGGAGGAGCUCUAAUCAGGCAGCAAGCAAAAACACCUGUGGUGGUGUACCAUGUGUGAGGGCAUAUUCUGCAUCGUUUGGGACAUGCUAAUUAUAUAAUUAACUAAAUUCAGCCAAAAUGAUCAGAGAGAGUUAAGAUCUCACCAACAUUUUGGGUGUUGCUUUGCAGAACAGACAUAAACGUUACAGGCCCUGUGUGUGCGUCUGUGAGAGAGAGCCUGAUUAACGUAAUGAGGAUUAAUUUCAUCCCUUCUAACUGGACCACCCUGGGUGAGACACAAGACUGGGCACCACCUGGUUAGCUUUCCCUCUCUCUCUCUCUCUCUCUCUCUCUCUCUCUCUCACAGCAGCACUUGGGUCACCAGGCAGGAAUUUGCAUAGCAAAUCCCCGUUACCAUUAGCACACGUGUGAUUGUUCAUGCACAUAGUAACAGCCCAAACUAACCUCCCCAAACCUCUCAACUUAUAUAUGCACAAAACACAUGCACACAUACACCAUCCUCUGUUGCACAAGCUUGUGGUCAGGAUAUAUGUCUGUUCAGCUGCACGCACACAAACACACUGACUUGGAAACCCCACCGAGCAGCGAGGGAUCUAUUAGAACCGUUGUGGAAAGAGGGAAGGGAAUUCCAUCCAGAGACGGUUCACUGGUGCCCGGCUGCUUUCUGAUCCUCUGGUGGUAACAAUAUUCAGCUGACAUUUCACUGGGGAAACUUAAUCUCAGUUUUCCUCCCAGCCAGCGAUACCCUAUUGCAGGGCCGGCAUCCGAGCUCACGCACGUCUCCAUGUAAAACCACAUACACAACGACAAGGAACGCCGACACGGCUGAUUCUCAUCCAAUUCCCACCCUCCGACCACCAACCAUCCCCCCCUCUCAUAUACUUGAUGUAUCUUCCUGAGGUCUUAUUGCAGACUUGAUUGAUACGCAGGCAAAACAUGAGCAUACCAUGUUACAUUUGUUGGGAAACCGCUCACUUGAGUAUCGCAGUGUGUUGUAACACGAGCUGAAACACCACUCAGAAAGCCGGGGAUGAAAAAAAACGUACUUUUUCAAAAGGAAUGUUUUAUUAUACUAUUAUGUUAUAGUAUACCAGGAGAUGGACUGUAGCAAUUAUUAUGCGUGAGCAUUUUGGUAACCAUACACCUACACAUUGUGACCAUUUAUUUCGAUUCAUUUUUUUUCCUAAGAAGAUUCAUUCUCAUCCUUGCUCUACCUGUGUGUCAUUUAACGGAACAGUUAAACUCCUACAACGCACCCGAGGACCUUUCUUGAAGAGCUCUUUGGGCUAUCACUGAAUGUAUGAACACAGUAGGAACAGCAUGGGGGUGUGCAGAAUGUCAUCAUUUUUACAGUUGAAGCUUUGACUGAGCUUCUGUGUUUUUGUGACAUCAUCACCGGAAAAACAAAAUUUGUGUGUCUUGUCAGCACUGCAAUAGUCUCCCCAUCUCCUCAGUGGGAUCCCAGCCUUCACCAAAUGUUAGUUGGGAUUUUUUUUUCUUGGUUUCAACCAAAAGACCUUGCAGGUUUAUAAGACAUUUAAAUUCCCUCUGACUACCAUCUGGAGCUACUGUCAAGUAUAACUUGUAUUAACCACGUUGAGCCAAGUUUGGAUUCUCUAUACCUGAACUUGCAGUAGCAUAAUAGUUUAGCUCACAUAUGUCAAACUCAAAGCCUGCGGGACAAAUCCGGGGAAAUAUUGAAUUACUCAUACAGUGAGCCCGCGAUAUAUUGUAUAAAUAGCUGCUAUCCCUAAUCAGUCCACUGGGGGUCGCACUGUGUGGGUGUCGCUAGCCACAUGAAAAUGACCAUCUGCGAGCACUAGUCAACCGAUGCAUCUGCACCCCUCCCCCACCACCCCAUCCGUUGGCUGCAUGGUCACCUUUGAUUUUCCUGUUCUGGCCUACCUAAAAUGAGUUUGAAACACUUGUUUAGCUUGUCAAAAUGUCUCUAACUAACAUAAGACACAAUCACCCAAUAAGGAACAAUUCAGUCCAAUAGACGGACUUGUUUUGAGAUAAUGCACGUUGAAUAUCUUGUUGUGCACCACAUACAGUAGAUCAAUCCCGCACAUCCAAUUCUAUCUCAGUAGAGAAAUAUAAUUAAUAAGGAAUUAACAUUAAAAAUCAAGUUGUGUCCUGCUGUGGACACGUGGGCUUCACUGGUAAGGAAACACAAGGGUUAACAGACACGUGUGCGGAUGUGUGGGGAUCUAUGCGUGUGUUUGUGUACCCCUGCGCUUCUAGAUGUGCAGUUCACAUGUGUGCGUAAAAGCAUGGGCUAGUGCACACAGGCAUGUGUGUGUGCGUGUGUGUGUGUGUGUGCGUAGGCGUUCGGUAUGCCUGCCAGUCUGGGGUUCUCCUGGCAAUGAGGGCUUCAAGCUGCAGCAUCAGAGGUGACGAGGUGCGAGGGCGUACGCACUCACACAUACACACACAUAGAGGGUUUUCCUCGCUCUCGUGCCAAAACAGAGAGAGGAAAAGGCCGGUGCGAGGUGCUGGGAAAUAAGCAGCAUUAAAAUAGUGAGGGCUUUUUCCACUGGCGCAUUCCCACAUACAGCGAGUGCACAGAAGUGACAGGUGACCAGUCCUGGCGGGACUUCUGUCUCCACAUAACACACACUGUACCAAAACACAUGAACACAAGCGUGCACAGAUACUGCGUACUAGAAAGACACGUGACUCAGACUAAGGAGUUGUUCCUUGCUAUGCGCUUGAGGCGGUGUCCCUGCUUCUUCGGUGUCCCUGCUUCUGUUCAUUCUGCUUUCAUUUUUUAUAUAGAUAUUUUUUUUUUAUACAUUACCAGGCCUUCGUGUUCUUGUUGGUCUUAACUUGGCAGUUAUGAGGAAAGUUCAUUCAGGAGAGACAAGUCUGAUGCUUGAAAAAGAUUUUUCCGGACAGAUAAUGGCUGAUGUUAGAGCAACAACCUACGGGUUUAGGGAUGCGUGUAGUCUGCUGAUUUAAACAAAGUACACCUGAGUGGAAAAGACAGAAACACGUGAAUUCAUUUUUUAUUAGGUUUUACUCGACAUCUCAGAAAGAUGGAGGCCUGAUCUCCGAUUGCAACUACUUCCUGUCCACGCCAAAAGUCACCAAAUCUAUCAUCUUUAACAACAACACUUUUGGAGCGGCACAGUGGUGUGGAGGUUACCACUGUCGCCUCACAGCAAGAAGAUCUGCCUGGGUUCUCGCCGUGUGUUCUGCCUUCCCCUUGCAGUCGGAAGACGUGAGCUGGGCCUCGUCUCACGCCCAAUGUUAGCUGGGAUUGACACCAGCCCCCCCACGACCCUCUCAGGAUAAGCGGUAGAGAGUAUGACUGACAUUAUGUGAACAUUUGGUCCAGAUGUGCAUGUUAGAGGACAUCACAGACACAUAAAAAAAGCAUUUCCCACCAGCAGGCUACUUACUGGUUGUUCCUGGUGAUAGCCAGCAGCAGACGGUCACAGUGACUGCACAUCAUCCCUCAAACACAUAAAGCAUUCAGCACCAAGACCCAUGAUUCAUGGGUUCCAUAGAGACGUCCCCAUUGCUGCAAUAUGUGUGUCGGCACACCCAUUUAACAUUGUACUGUGCUGACAAUGAUGUAAAACAAACUAGCUUCAGUUUACUAUUAGAUAAUCUAUAGCCUGCCAUAGGUUUAGCAUACAAUAGACAGCACAAAUUGGCGCAUCUGCAGAACAAAGACAGAGAAAGAACAGGGAGAAACGUGAACGU
ensembl:lncRNA